rnacentral:lncRNA from 1 species
GGGGGGGAACCUAAUGGAUUUGUCUGAAAAAGAUGAAGGAAGGAAAAUCGAAAGAAGAAGUAGGAUUGGAAAUGUACAUGUUAAGAUUUAGUAACAUUUGUACAUUGGUUUAGACUACCUCCCCGCUCUUUGGCUUUUUCUUUCUUUUAGCAUUCAAUUUCCUUGACCUCAAUAGAUUGUUAACAUACAUGCGCAUAACAGGUUCGAGUUGGAUUCGUCUACAUUCAUUACGCUUUUGAUUUGAACUAAUAUAACCUUUUGAUAAAAUUGAAAUCUAAAUCCAUUAAAUUAGUGAAUUAUUAAGUACUAAAUUUGAUACAUUUGAGUGUAUAUCACAUUAAGCGAUAAGUUGUUGUCUGAAAUCUGAAAUCUGAUUCUAUUAAGUUAAUGAAUUGUUAAGUGCUAAAUUUGAUAUAUUUGAGUGUAUAUCAUAUUAAGUGAUAAGUGCAUAGUUUAUCACUUAUUUUUUGGAGCAAAUUUUGUCCAAAAAAUUAAGUGCCGCUUAGUAAAUUCAGAUGUUUUAAACUUUGAUUAUUAAAUGCGUUUGAAUAUGUUAAAAUUUGAAUUCAUUAAUUUGAAUAUGUUAAAUAUAAUUAUUAAACAUGACAAAAUAGUUUUGCAAACAUUUGGAGUGGUUCUAAUUAACAUAUAAGGACAAUUAUAUUUAUUUAUUGCUCAAAAAUGAAAAAUCUUCGAAAUGUUCAUAUUUGUAACUUUUUCACUACUUUAAAUAAACUCUAGAUUUUGGCAAAUAAAUCAAAUCUGCAAGCUGACUUAAAUCCACUUUGAGGCACUAAAUAAAAAUUUCCUUUAUCGGCUUCUAAUUUCUCUUUGACUAGAAUCAUUUCCCAAAAAAGGAAAACAAAAAAUAAAUGAGUAAAAGAAAGAGGAAUUCCGUAAUUAUCUUAAAAGCUGGGGAGCUUUAUGAUAUUCAGUCUUUAGUUUGAGUACGUAUAUAGUAAACCGGAGCCCAGUUUAUCUAUUCGCAUAAUCCUAAUUAUCAUACGCGGAUCUAACCAAGUAGCCUUAGAAUCCAAAUUCCCUUGUUCUUCUUCUUCAACCCCCCCAAACCCUAACCCUAAAAACUGGAAAUCUCGUCUGAUUUCCAAUUUAGUGUUUAACUGAAGUCGCUUCGUUUCGAAUUUCAGCUAAUGGCGAGCGGCUCCAAUGAACCCACGCGUCGCAAGCACCGCCGCUCUCCUUCUGACGACGAGAACAACGACGCCGAAGCACCUUCGAAACGGCGGAAGCACCGCCACCAUAAACAUCACCGGCAUCAUCGCCACCACCAUCACCACCGCAGCAAGAAGGAGGACAGAGUUGAGGACGCAACAGCUGAAGCUGAAAUCGAGAUGGAAGAGAAUCUAGAAGAGGAACGGAAGAGUAAUGAGAAUGCGGUGGUUGAUGCUGCAACUGGUGGCACAACUAGUGCGGCUGUUAUUUCUGGUUCAGUUUUGGGGAUUGAUUAUGAUAUGGAAGAAGGAGAGAUUGUUGAUGAGGGUGAGGGUGGUGGUGGUGGUUCUCGUAUCGAUGGAGAUGAGGUGAAAAAGGAGAAAGAGCGUGGUUCUGAUGUGGAGUCUGGAGAGAUUGGGGCUGUUCGCGGCGGCCAUUCUGACAAUUCUCACAUGGUGUGUUCAGAUUCCCCUUGCUUUUUAUUUAUUUUGUUAUUUUUCUUGGGAGAGUUUCAUUUCUGUUUGUAAAGUUUAGAAAUUAAGCUGUUUGGUUGCGGAGAAAAUUAAUGGAAACCUUCCCAUAUGGAAAUUGAAAGUUUGUUUACUCGUCUGGAAUAUCAGCUUUUGUGUCUUUGGCGUGGUCAAUGUAGUAUGCUUCCAAAGUUUUCGCUUCCUUGUGUUUCUCCUGCUGAACUUAAAUAUGAAGUAUGCUUACAUUGUGCCUUUGACCCUUUUUUACUAGAACCCAUUUUACCCACUUUAAAUGCCGGAUUUAUAUCUUUAUUUAUGUAACAGGCAUAUAAUUAGGAUUUUUUUUACUCCUGGUAUCAAGAUUUGUCAGCAAUUAAACAGGAAGUUAUUCAAUGUGUUUUAAUUUGAUAUUUUGAUCAUAUCUAAUUAAAGAGUUUACUAAUUGUUUUCUGCAAUUGCUAGUGGAGUCAUCGGUUUUGUUGUGAAAUUUUAGUACAUGUUUUCCACCAAACGGACAUGAGAAUUUGAAUUCCAUCUGGAGCUGUGCACUCCGGUUUUACAUUUUUUCCCAGGCAAAAGUUCUAUAGGAGAUUCUGAAGACAGAUGGCUUUCAGUGGAUUUGUAAGAACAAAUUUUAUGGUUAUUUAUUUAUUUAUUUGUGGGGGCAUACUUUGUUAACUUUGUUUUGCUUGGACAUAGUAGAUUUGAGGUUUGUGUGGUUAACCAGCUACUUUGGUUGUGUUCUGCAGAAGGUGGAUGUAUAUCAAGAGGGGAAGAAUCGUACCUGUUGUUUGCCUUCUGAAGAAGGUAUGAAUGAAGAGGAUGGAAAGAUGGGGGCAUCGAGUGAUUUUAGGAUUGAUGGGGAAGAUGAUGGAUGUUUUGCGAGGAAGAAAUAUAAUGAUUUGGGUCAGAAAAGAACUUCCAGAACUGAACAUAUGUCUAAUGGUGAGUUUGUGCAUGAAUACCGUAAGGAUGAGUUAACUGUUGAAGAACAUAGUUGGAGAAAUGACUACUCUAAUGAAGAAAGUAUUUUGAGGGAGACUAAUGAAUUGUUAGCUGAAGGUGGGCAAAAAAGGGAUUUCUCAAGGUCACCGUCACGGGACAGACACCGUGAAAGGGUUCGAAGUGGGAGCUGUCCAAAGUCACGUGAUCAGUCUCGAGGAAGGUCUAGGUCGCAAAGCAUUUUCCGAGAGGGUUCUUUACUCAAUACACCAAAAACAUAUAACGAUUAUUCACGAAGAAAGAAUAGGAGUGAUUCAGAUGAGGAGCAUGAAUCCAGCAGGGAUUACCAACCUGCCAGCAGAGAAUCAUUUAGGGAUGAAGAAAGGAGUUACAGCAGACACAGUAGUCGGUCAACAAGGCAUCAUAGUCGAGAAAUGCGGGACAGGGAUAGAGAGGGCAGCCGGGAUGUGGACAGAGACAGGACAAGAGACAGAGAGCGAGAGAGGACAAGGGAGAAGGAGCGGGAGAGGGAAAGGGCUAGGGAGCGGGAGAAAGAGAGGGAGAGGGAAAAGGAGAGAGAGAGGCACAGGGACUGGGAGAGGGAGAAGGAGAGGGAAAGGAGGAGGGAGCGGGAUAGAGGGAGCAGCCGAGAUAGAAAUAGGGACAGAAAUAGGGAUAGAGAUAGUCAAAGGUCCUUUAGGAACUCUAAACACAAUCACGCUGAUGAUGGCUAUGGUGAGCAAGAUAGGAUUGAUGAUUACAGGCAUAGGAGGCACGAUGAAGCCGGUCACAAGGAUAGGAUAAGUGUAAGUGAUACUGAAAAAAUUGAUGGUUCUAAGAAGCAUAUGGCUGGAAGGGAAAAUGAGAAGUCUGGAAGGUAACUUUUUGCUCAAUCAGUAUAUUGAAUAUGAUCAGCAUCCUUUUCCUCCUUCCAUCUAAUGUUUGAUUUUUUUGAUCACAGAGAUGAAAAUGAACAAGAAGACUACCAAGAAAAAAUUGUGUUGCGACUAGCAGAACAGGAAGAAGAUGACCUUGAAAGAAUUAAAGAGGAAAGUAGGAGGCGAAGCGAAGCUAUACUAGAAAAAUAUAGAAGUCAGAAAUCACAUCAGCACUCCGAAGCUAAAAUAGAAAAUACAGGUAAUAGUAUUUCUUUUGCCUUAUUUGUAUUAAUAGGUUUUCUUUGUUCUAUAUUUUUUGUACUUGAUUCCUUUGGAGUGCAGCAGCAUUGGUUUCUUGAAUACCUAUUUUUCAUGGCUUGAUUUUUUUCCUUGGAGUGAGCUUUUAUGUGAUAGACAUUUGAUUUUUUUUUUCUCAUCUUGACUUUCCAUGGGCAUAUGCCUUGUCUUUUUAUCUACUAUUCUCCUGAAAAAAAUUUGUUUUUCUGGAACAGUAAAAGAGCAAGGAGAACAGCCAUUAGUGAUGGUACCAUCUGUUAGUGUUGCUCUCGAAUCUAAUUAUCUUCGAAAUGAGGGCCAAGAUGACUAUGUUGCUGACCCAUCCUUUUCUGUUGGAAAAUCCCCUCCACCAAAUGGGGUUUCUACUAUUGAGAAGCCUUCUGAUACUGGUGGACUCGGAGCCGGUACUCCAAAGGUGGGUUGAAAUUUAGUAGGCAGCUGGAGAUAUGUGUCGUGGACUGCAUUGUUUCCCCUAGCUGCUCAAUGUCCCCAUUGUCAGCUAUAUGUGUCUCCAAGUUGGUUGCUCGUAUUUGUAAAUUUUUUAGAAUUUUUUUUCAAAAUUUUUGUCUAAUUUAUUUCUCACAAUUGGCUAAACCUUUGCUGUUUGUGCCUGAAUUAUUCAACUUUGCAGAGUGAAAGACCUAAUGAUAUGUUCUCUGAUGAUAUAUUUGGAGAGUCUCCUGCUGGUGUUCGUAAAACGGUAAGCCUUAAUCUGCCACUGUCUUUUGCAACUAAUAAAUUCAUCGCUUCUUGUUUGUUCUUAAGCUGGCUAACGUUUUGGUUUAUACUGUCCUUUCCUGUAUUUCUGUGGUGGCCUAAAUUCAUGUUUUAUUGUCGAUUGAUAACUUCUUAUUCCUUCAUUUUAUUAGCUCGUACUUAUUGAUUAGCUAUCAAAUAUUUUCCUCAGGGUAAGGGUGAUGGUUUAGCAAUUGAAAGGAGUGGCCUACAUGACAAUUGGGAUGAUGCAGAAGGGUACUAUAGUAAGUGUCUGAAAUCUAGAUUUAUUCUAUCACACGGACUAAUUUCUUUUUGGAGCUAAGUUGUGAUAUUAACUAACUGUUCAUUUGAUAAAGUAAUUUCUUAAGUUUUUUUUUCUUUCUAAUCUUUUUACUGCUUGAACGUCAAGUUUAUUUCUUAAUUUUCAUUUUGUGCUUUAACAAGAGGUACAUUUAGAUAAAGAAGUGAUGAGUUUCCUGUUUGUUCCUUUUUGGAGUGUCUGGUACAACAAGUGAAUCUGCUUGUCUUUUUAGUUCUUCUGGACUGUCUAUUGAUUAGGUGAAUCUGAUCCUCUUAAUUAUCCCUUUUGAGGAGUGUCCGGUUCAAUAUUAAUCUGCUAAUCUUGAUUGUUCCUUUUUCUUUGCAGGCUAUCGGUUUGGAGAAUUACUUGAUGGUCGAUAUGAAAUCAUUGCUGCACAUGGCAAAGGUGUCUUCUCUACAGUAGUUCGUGCUAGGGAUCUUAAGGCCAAAUCUGGUGAUCCUGAAGAAGUAGCGAUAAAAAUCAUUCGCAAUAAUGAGACCAUGUGAGUAAUUAAGCUUUUCCUUGCUUUAGUUUCUGACUUUAGCUGUUUAAUAAUGCAUCCUUUAGUCCUUUGUCUGUCAGAACUGAUUCUUCUUUUUCUGUUGCGCUGUUAGGUUGAAGGCUGGCAUGGAUGAACUGGUUAUAUUAAAAAAGUUGGCUGGUGCUGACCCUGAGAACAAACGCCAUUGUGUUCGUUUUGUUUCCAGCUUUAAGUAUCGGAAUCAUCUCUGUUUAGUUUUUGAAUCUCUUCAUAUGAAUCUUCGUGAGGUUUUGAAGAAGUUUGGUCGUAAUAUUGGGCUUAAAUUAACUGCUGUAAGGGCAUAUGCAAAGCAGCUCUUCAUUGCACUGAAACAUCUAAAGAAUUGUGGUGUGCUUCAUUGUGAUAUUAAGCCUGAUAAUAUGCUGGUAAACUCAAUUAUCUUCAAUAUCUUUCCCUUCUAUACCUCUUUACCCUGGUCUUCUUUCUGAUACUAACCUAUUUAUUCUUUUUGCUGUUUCCUAAGGUGAAUGAAGCAAAGAAUGUAUUGAAGCUUUGUGACUUUGGCAAUGCCAUGUUUGCUGGUAAAAAUGAAAUUACUCCAUAUCUUGUGAGUCGAUUUUAUCGUGCCCCAGAAAUAAGUAAGUCUGUUUCUUUGUCAUUUGCUUUCUAAGAAGGACUUGAUUGCCUGAUCAACAUUAGUUAUUUUACUGCAAGCUGAGUUCUAUUACAUUAAGGUAUUUAAGCUUUUAUUUUUUUAUUCUUCUUAGUUCUGGGUCUGCCAUAUGAUCAUCCCAUGGAUAUGUGGUCAGUUGGUUGCUGUUUAUUUGAGAUUUACACUGGAAAAGUUCUUUUUCCUGGUUCUACAAAUAAUGACAUGCUUCGCCUUCAUAUGGAGCUUAAGGGCGCAUUUCCAAAGAAGAUGGUUCGUAAGGUGAGAGACAGCUUUAUAGGUGUUUGUUUGUUUUUCCUCUAACAUUAAAUCAUGAAUUUAGGGCUCUUGCAUCUCUCUUAUAGUGUUUGAGAUGUUACAUGGAUACCUCAUUUUUACACAACAGAAAUGAGGAGUUGAGAGUUUAUUCUGUGGCUUGUAUCUUUCAAAUAUAAUUCCUUCACCAUAUUUUCUUUUGAUAUAUAUGCUUCCUUUCUCGCUCUUUUAGCUUUAAGAAUUGGUCUCUUUUUCCAGAAGAAUUUAGUGAAGUUUUAUUUGUUCUCAACUUUUUUUUUUACUGAUCGCUUUUUUCCUAUUUUGUUGCUACAGGGUGGAUUUAAGGACAAGCACUUUGAUCAGGGGCUGAAUUUUCUUGCCACUGAGGAGGACCCUGUCACAAAGAAGGUAAUCAUCAAUUUGGUUGUGUGAUCCUUUAGGGUUUUCUAUUUGUGAUUAUAUGCUUUGUAUUACUUGCAUUUCUUGUUCUUGUCUGUUUUUUUCUAAUAAACUUUAUAUAUAUUCUAUUCUGUCAGGCUGUAAAGAGGCUGAUUCUUAAUGUUAAGCCAAAAGAUUUUGGAACUUUGAUUGUGGGUUCUCCUGGUGAGGAUCCAAAGAUGUUAGCCAACUUUAAAGAUCUUCUUGAUAAGAUAUUCAUGUUGGAUCCUGAUAAAAGAAUCACUGUAUCACAAGCAUUGAGCCAUCCAUUCAUCACUGGCAAGUGAAAUAUUGAUGCUGAUUUGUGACUACCGAAAUGCUGUUGGGCUUGAUAUUUGAAUAUCAUAUGACUGCAUUUAUAUAUUGUUCUCUAAUCAUUGGGCAUUAAUGUCUGUCUUCUUUGUGCUGGCUAUAAGAGCUUUAGAAACGGUGCUUGGCAUGUUGAACGCAAUUGUGGUGAUGUUUGAUUGGAAGACAGCUCGUACUUGGCGCUUCUGUCAGUGGAGUGUUUUCUGUUUCUAUUGUAAGAUAACUCGCCAAAGGCGUAUUUACCUUUUGUACUCAAUCUUAAUGUUGACCAUUAAGAAACUCUUCAGUAGAAUAGUUUCAAUUACUUUCUAUUUUUUAGACUUUCCUCAUAUUGUAUUCCAGAUAUGGUUCCAGUAACUCAACUCUCAGGCUUUAAUGUGCUCCCGAAAAUUAGAUUUGUUGGCAGAAAUAAUUCUUUGUAAAUAAAAACUUAACUUUGGAAAUUUGUAUUAUUCUCUUCAUCUCACUUUUCCCCCCUUCAUUUUCUUUUUCCUUUUUAAUUGCUGAUGAUUGGUUUAUAAGGGAUACUCGCAUUAGAUUAUGGUCCUCUUUCUUGUUUUGUUGCCACUGUUUUUGCUUUUUGCGAUAAUAUAUGGGUCCUGGUGUCUAAUUAAAUUUCUCAUUCAGGGUACCAUCUCUGCUAUGAGGCAACCGUUCAGUGCUUUAGAUGCUUAAAAGUCAACCUGGAGAAGGUAUUUUGGUUUGUUUGCUAGGUGUUUAUUGUGAGACGGAUGAAUCUAUGCUUUUGCAUAUAUUUCUUUGAUGUCAGAUUUGGCUUAUCACUGACGUUCAUUUAAAGCCAUUUCAAGCGAAUCAUUUUGUCAUGUGACCUUGUGUGUCUUGGCUUUUCUUUUGAUUACAUGUAGCGUGUAGAACUUUCUUAGUGGUUGUGUAUACAUAGAAGUGAUUUUGAAAAAUCUAUGGUUCCCAUUCUUACUGAAAGUUGUUUUGAAGCAUUAUUGUUUGGUGCAUGCUGUAAACUGAUUUGUUUUGGCAUGAAAUUUAUCCUUUGCUGAGAUCUCUGUGAUUGUGUGCGUCAUUUCUGUUUCUUUGAUGGUCCCCAUUCUAAUGAGGUUGCAUUACUUCUGAUCUUUGAUUUGGCCAUUCUGGAGGAAUAUAUGCUUUGGAGGUUAUUGGAUGCUGUUCCAGGUGGAUUUUUUUAGGUGUGUGUCCAAAUCUGAACUUGGUGCAGUUAUCUCAUUUAGCAGAUCUAAUUUCUGGGAAAUAGUUGAGUAAUAUGAUUAUUUGUUUUUGUAGGUUAUGGCAUUGUGAUUGCUGAUAUCCUGUAAGUAUAUUCUUAUUUUUCAUCUCCUUUGUCAUUAGUUGGUUUCUGAUGUCAAGCUAUUUCUGUUUCCAACUAUGUUUUUAACUCCUCCAACCUGUACAUGUGUGAAUUUUUGUAGAUUUAUGCUGUUUAGCAAGCUAUUUCUGAUAGUAAGUUCUUCUUAAUCUAUAUUUUGAUACUUUCCUUUGCCUUGGUCUCUGGCACCUGAGCAGAGUGGGAAUUUUUUCUUUGAAUCUGCUUUUUAUAGAUGGGUUGUUUUUAACUCUUCAUGUUUAUGGGGUAUUAUAGUGGGAUAAAUGUAGACCUGGAGCUGUUAUUAGGCUGAAAGUACAUCCUUGAGGGGAAAGAAUUAGGUCAUGGGAAUUUUGACGUCUAAUUGUUAUAAAUCCUUUUCAAAUCAAUUAUAUUAAGGCAUAAUGUGCAAGUUUUUUCAAGCGAGCGAUUUGUAAUGCUUAUGACUUGCAAGAAAUUUCUAAUAACCUUGUAUCAAGCAUAUUAGAGAGACAUGCGUGAAAUCUUCUUCAGCAAGCAUACAAGUCUGACUUGAUGUGAAUGCAGCAUAGGAUAUACAUUAUCCAAGAUAUGAUAGUCAGCAAAAAAUUAGGUAGAUCAGAGGGAGUAAUGUGGGUUGGUAGGAGUAACAGAGUAGCUUUGUAAGGAAUGGAAAUAGGCUUGGAUGAAAAAAAGAAGCCAAUAAGGGUGUAUAUUGGGCACUUUACAUGUGCCUAUUAAGCCUGAUUACCUGGGCAGUUUUUUGUACUAGGCGAUCGAAGCCUGAUUACAUGUGCAAACCAAUGAGAUGAUCAUUUACUAACAGGUGUUAUCAUAUUUUUCAAAAAAAUAACUGCGUCAAAGAACAAAUCACAGAGUCUAUGAACUGAACUGGUUUUUAGAUAAUCUUUUAGCAACAAAAUAUUUUUUCCAGUCACUUGGCUUUCAGUGCAUAAGCUUGCAGCCUCAGAUUUAGCAUACAUUUGUUCCAUAACAGGCAUUUUGAUGACCUUAGUGGAGUUUGAGCUUUUAAGAUAAGAGCAGUAGGGUAGUGGAACUACUAAAACAUUUUGUAGUGGGAUUCUUGGCAUCCACUUCCAAGUAUACUUGUAAUUUUUUUGGUUGAGCUUCCUUUCUCCUGAGUACUAGAUAACCCACGGGUAUCAGCAUACAUGACGGAUCUUGAUAUGGCAUGGAAAUCUUAAAUUUGACAAAUGUGUACUUGGUAAGUUCAAUUACUUGUGGGUCUGGUGAAUUUCAGAGCGGCAGACAUACUGAGGGUUGAGUCCUCCUUAUUAUAUCUAAUUGUUUUUAGCUUGAUAGUUUUCCGGGGAUGAGGUUACAUGGGAUAAUAUCAUCAACCCUUUUAUUCUGGAAAAUGAGGUUGAGAACUGAAAAAGUGAAUACCCAUGUAUUUGUUGUAGACGAGGUAGGACAGUGGCUACUCUGGUGUUUCUUGCCUUUGAGUAAUACUUAAUAUGGUCAGUGAAAUGCAACAUUCCUUUAGUUCAAUUAGCCUUUUUUUUAAAUGAAGAAGAGAAUGACAGGAGUUGUCAGGUUGUAAUGGAUUUUAGGAACUGAUAUUAGAUUUCAACUGAUAUGAAAUAGAUCACAACUUGUAUGAAUUUGUCAAGGAUGGAGUUUAGGAGUAUUGGUUGCUUCUUUUCUACAUCUGGAUAUUGAUAACUCAGAGAGGAAGCUUUUUGCAAGGAAACACAAGUUAAGCACAGACGACAUGGACAGAAUAAACAGAACAUACCAGCUGGGUCUCUUUUCAGUUUGCUGGCUGUUUGCUCUUGAGAUUAUUUUUGGCGGCUUACGAUAGUUUUUGAUUGCAGUAAGAAAUAAAGGAAGUCUCAGCUGAGUUCAUCUGGUGUGAAUAAAAAAUGUACAAUUUUGUCUUUCUGGCACUUCAUCCCUCUGACCUUCAACUUUUAGGUGCAGAAAUUUGUAAGAAUGCAUGAAUUGCUAUGGCAAGUAAUGUGAUAUUCUUUUGCCUUUGCUGGUGAGAGAUUGGUAUGGUCGGGGAAUUCUUUUGUGCAUUGCCUAGUAACGUGAAGGGUUGUUUUAUAGAAAAAUUGUAGAUGUUAUGUUGGUGUAUUUAGAGUUUUAAAAUUGGUACAUUACGAAAAAGUAAGUACAUAUAGUUUUAAAGUGUUUUUGUCAGCAGUACAUGUAGUUUAUAGUGUUUUUGUGAGCAUGUUGGCAACUCAGCAUCAACGAGAGUGAUCAAGACAUUGCAUUUAUUCAAUCUAAUUAAUACCUGUUUAAGCUAGGUUUUGAUCGAGCAUCUUCUCCAUGCAAGAUUUAGGUUUUGAGUAUCAUAUUCUGCAAGAGUUUGUCCUUGUCAAUUUGCCAGGGUAUCAUCGUCCCCUGGUGAGUGUGUGUCAUUGAGAAGCGAGGAAAGGUAAAUGUUCACUUGCAUAUCAUUAACUAACUAGUAAAAUGGUAUUUGUAACUUACUAACUGGUGGUUACAAUAAUUUUUACGCACAUUUACCAGAGUUAAAAGGUUUUCAUCACAUGCCGCUUCUAUUUCAGCUAUAAUCUGAACACUAUUUAGAGCUGCUCCUACUCCUCCCUGCUGUGGUUGGUGUUGGAUUGGGUUUUGUUAAUAUGGUCUUGCUUUCUUAUACUUCUAUGGAUGCCAUUUACUGGCUAAGUGUUCUGGAUGCAUACAAUUUUCUAGCGCCCCCCCCCCCCCCGGGCGGGUGUCAGGUGUCAUAUGAACCUGUUGUCUAAUUAGAAUGGGUCGGUUAUGCACUGUUGAUAUGUCUUUCUGAAGUCUUUCGUCCUCACUAUUUGUCUGGUUCCCUUUGUUUUGUCUGAGGAAGAUGUUUGAGGGGCUUCAUGCAAAGAUUUUAGCAAUAUAUGUGUGGUUGGUGUGGAUUGAACUUGUCAUCACAUGGAGAGGCUUGAAUUGUUGAUACUAACGGGGCUGAACUAGUUUACUGAUUUUUGGUCAGUCUUCAAAUUUUGGGGUUGUCGUUGCCACUUUGUGUGCUGAAUUAGAAGUGGUUCCAUUUGUCCCGUGAAAUUUGAUGAUAUUUGUAAUAAUGCCGUCUUUUAUGUUGUGCACGCGUAAAAUCCACUGUUUCGGCAGGCUGCUGUUGUUCAGUUGCAAAAGAAAAAAAAAAAAAAUUGCAUGAAUGAAUUUGGUUAAGUGAUGCAAAAUCUCAUCGAGAAUAAUGGGCUCUCUGCACCAAAUAUAAAAUGCCAAUAUCAGUGCGCCGAGCAGGUUGAUUAACUGAGGUUUGUGGCCAGCGCAACUUAAAGGGGCAAUUGAAGUCUAAUAUUCUGCUCGGUAGCAACAGGAGCCUCUCUAUAAAAGCUGAAUGUGAGCUGCUGUUUUCAUGUGGUUUAUUGGAAUGCCAACGUAAAGGUGGCGUCAAACGUGUUUGUUUCAUGCUCUGUGUUAGAGAUGUCUUAUCCACUGGAACUUGUAACGCCUGAGAGGACCUAAUGUUUUGAGUCGGGUUGGUACCCAAUUGCAAAUUGAAAAUUUGAUAUUUUAUCUGAUGUUCUGGUCAUGAAUAGCCGGAUUUCGGGCCGUUGAGCCUUGGAGCUGAAUGAUAUAGAGAAUUGGAACAUGUGUCCGUUUUAAUUCUCAAUCAUAAUAGACUCCAUAGUUGGCUUUACUUUCCUCGUCACUCUUGGCAAUAAGAUAUGGACAUGACUGAUUCAAUUGCCGGCGAGGCUCCUUCCAAUAAAAACCCUUCCCCUUCUCCGUGCCGUCACUCCUUCCACUUUUCUCUAUUCAUUGACCUACUGGGACAGAGUAUAUAUAUGUAUAUGUGUGUUGAUCGACCUAGUCAAGCAAUUGAAGAGACGUGGUCACUGCCUAUGAACAUUCUAGGGAAUACCUGGUAACUGCUCUAGUAUUUAACGAACUUAAAAGACUACCGAGGCUGCUAGCUUGAGAAGUGUAAUUUAUUAGAUUAAUGAAGUUACUGCAUUUUCAAGAAAAAAAGGAAAACUUUCUACAGCGUGCACUGUGCCCUAAUGAAUAAGGGUUAAUGGAUGCAAUUUUGGACUGUAUAUAGCCAAAGGGUCGCGUAAUUACGUGCCCACAUUAUUCAAUUGCGUGAUUUAUAAUUAGACGAUAUCCUGGAUAUGAGAUUUUGCCUUAAAAGGAUUUGUGUAGAUCUGUUUCUAUUUGGGUUAUUCAAAUACCAAUCGGAGUUGCACGAAAAAUGGUGACUAUUCUUGGUUAGGACUGAGCAAAUCGUGCUGCAGCCAACAAUCAAGAGGGGAGAGAUCACGAUUAAACAAUAAUUUGGCAAAGCACUUUUAGGUUUGGUUUCUGUACACGAUACCUUUUUUUUUUUUUUUUUGUCAGUUUGGGGGUGUUCGGACCUAUAUCCGACUACUCCUCCAGCCCCGAGGAGAGUGGGCCCCACCGAUCCUCAGGAAAUUAUUCCGAAUUGCUGAGUUCGGGAUCGAACCCAGGCCGUCUCACCCUAAUGAGGGCUACACGACCACCCGAGCAACCCGUCACCUUGAAUAGCUUGAAUAGCUUGUCAAUUUGAUUCAAAGUCUAGAAGAUGGGAAGACAAAAAUUUCAAGAUGCUGAAAUUUACAUUGUAAUAUGUGCAUUCUUGGAGACUCUCCACUGAAACAGUAACAAUGUGCGUCUUUUUCUAAUCUAGAAGGCAGCACUCGAAACGAAACUUCCAUUUUUCUAGCACGAAACUUCAUGCUUGAAGUUCUCUCGUUGGUGUUGAAGUGUCGUGCCUUUGUUUAGAUUGGUUAUUGGACAACGUUCACAUUAUUAGAUACUUCGAAUGCUAACAAAUAAUGGAAUUUGUGGAAGUAUAAAUAUCUGUUAAAAAAGAAUUCGGGAGGGCGGAUCUGCAGUGGAUUCUUAUUAGUAGCAUAUUUUAAUCUUGCAUUCCUAAAUUAGAAAUCGACGUAUAUUGAGGUAUAGAGAUUUGAACAUGAAAUAAUUUAAACUGUUUCAAGAUAAGGACUUCUACACCAGUCUUUUCUUCUUUGGACCUCUCCUUUCUUUUUCUGAACUUUGCAUUUCAUUGGUUGCUUCUAAAUGGAGAUAUCUAACGCGGGAGUACCUUGACUAUAAGGUGGCUCAGACAGAUGGCGAUGGGUCGAAGCCACUUUUCACCUAAAUAUUUUCCAUCCCAAUCUGUUAUCUAAAUUCAACUUUUUCCCUCGUUAGAAUGUGAAGAAACAUGGCACGUAGUGUUAAAAGACGAGCUAAACUAUUCGAAUUGGAUUUGUCUUGAUAAGACUUCAUCAUUUGCAUUUGAUCUGUCACUAAUCAAACCAAACUUGAAUAGCAAGUUGUAUUUGAUUAACUCUUAAACUGAGGUUAAGUUUGGCUUGAUUAACAUAACGUUAAAACUUAUGUGUUGAAAGUUUUAAACUACUCGAAUUCGACUGAACAAAAACUGAUUUGAAUUCGGUUUAAUGAGCAAACAAGUCAAAUUUAAAUACAAUUUUAAACUUAUAAAUUUAUCAAACAAACUUGAAUAUUAGGGUAUUUCACUUGAUUAAACUUGCUUACAUCCUUAAAGAUACUCAAAUAGUUAUGAUCUAACUUCCUUGUUCCUAAGAAAUUGGGGUUUGGGAGACAAACAUAUUGCUUAAUAAAUGAAUCGAAUCAUAUAACAUAAUAAUGGCUCUGCUCUUUAGAAUUAAGCAAAAACAUAUGAAUCAGAUAUAAGAAUAUUAGCUAUUCAAAAUUUAAUCUGGUUUUGGUAAAAGUUUCUAUGCGCGUGACAACCCUUUAGCGAUUCGCAGAGAAAUUUAUCAACCGAGUCGUAUACAUGGUAAGAGAACCAGCAGGCGUUAAGGAAAAAGCUGAAUUUUCAUUUACGCGAUAAAGUUUGUUUCUGAUAAUGGGUCCACUGUGCAAUAAAUAGUCAGUUGUGAGGUCCAAAUCACAAUAAACAAAAACAUUAGAUAUUAAACAGUGUCGCCAUUAAUACCAGAAGGUUCCUUGUCAUACUUCAAUUUAACUUGAAAUGGUCAAGAAUUUUAGGCCUACACUGCCAUGGCAAUUUUCCUUCUCUUGAAAAAAUUGCCCUGAAAAAAAAAAGAAGAAAGACUUUUAAUCUUACAUCAUCUUCUUUGGAACCCAUCUCUUACCCUUUAAGAUUGUGAAGGGCAAUAUUUUCAUGAUGGACAAAAUUGCUCUGAUGGGGUAGGAGUUGCUCCGUCAUUUACAAUAGCCAAGAAAAGAGGGCAGGUCUAGAAAUUAAGAUACCAUAAAUAUCACCGGGACUAGAAAUAGACAGUGACAAAUUAGUACUCGUAGAGAAAGUCUCUUCAAUUUAUUUACCCUCACAGGAGCGCGUGAAACCACUUUUUCCAUGCAAACAAUUUUUGCAAAUUCUCUAACUAUAUGUCCUUGUAAAUUGAGUGUUAUAAAAUAGUAAGUGAUUAUGUUGUGGCUGGGAACUCUUUAGUGAUUCUCCUGAGCUUUCAUAAAUUCUACAAGAAACCCAAACCCUUAAUCCCAUCAGUUCUUGAUCAUGGGAACAAGUAAUUGCUGGUUUCUUGGGUUGUAUGAUUGACCUUGUACAUAAGUUUAAAAUAAGCUGGUCACCUAAUUAAUUUGAUCUGGUAAGACCCUCUACCUAUGUUGCAUCUAGGGAAGGUAAAAAGCAUUCACAUAAGUACGUAGCGUAUUUUGUUUUGGUCACAAUUAACACUAAGGAUUACUGCAUUUCUUGCUGUUUCCACACACAAAUACACACAGAAAGGCAAAUGGAACAAGCAAUCCCACCACGAAGGUGGUGGAAUUUAAUGUUGAAAGAGGAGAAGAAGAAACAUGCAUGGCAACUAGAACAUUAUUUGGUUAGGAAGGGAAAAAGAGGAGAAUACAUGAUAUAUAGAGGAAAUGCAAUAUUGUGUUUUGGCUUGAUCUUACAAAACGCACUUCAUCUUUUCUUAAUUAAUAUGCUUCAUAUUUGUUCAAUUAGCUAUUUAACGUUUCUAGCUCAGUUUUUGUUCCGUGGGCUAAUUUCUCAGUACUGUGUGCUAGGUACUAAUUAUUUUUUUGUUUCUUGAUCAUGUCAUCCUUAUGCUUAUUAGGAUAAGGAUUUUAUUAGGAUAAAGUAACAUUUUUUUUUUAAUGCAUUAUUAGGUUGGAGCAACAUUUGAGGUGAGAUUCAAGAAUGAUCCUAGGAAUUACUUUUGAAUGCCUUUUAUAUAGAAAACACCGUUCAAUAUCCUAAAACCUUACAGCAAAAUUAUCAUAAAAAACACCUAUAGCAAAGAAACCAUCUGAAUGUAGCCUCAAGCUUCUUUUCCAAAAAGUAAUGAAAAAUGGCUAUUACUAUUUGAUUUAAUCACAAAAUAACAUGCAGGUUACGACUAACGUAGUCCAAAGUUAAAAACUACGACCCUUUAGGUGAAGCAAGAAUGGUAGAAGUGAGAAAAAUACAAAGAACUAGAUACAGCCUGAUACUGAUCAUUAAAAUUAAGAAAAAAAAAAGUAGGUUAAUUAAGGAAAAAAAAUGUUAAAAUAUUUUCUGGACCAUGAAUAUCACCUGUACACGAAUCACCAGCGCGUGCCCCCCUGACUCCCUGGCAAACGAACGAAACCAGCGGCGUUUAAUUUCCUCGAACUUUUAACCUAGUCCUUGCCAAUGACUUAGUAUCUAAGUAAAUCCCCACACGCUCAAUUUCAUUGCAACUGCGCUGAUCUGAUUCACACACACAACACACACUGAUUAUAAUUCCACGCAUAUAUAAACUACUCACAGGAAACAAAUUGUUCGCGUAAAUUACCUUCAGCACCUAAAAGGCGCAAACGAGCCUAGCUAGAUCGUUUGUUUGGGCUCGUUUGUUUCCUUGUGCUGCUGAAUCAUAUACUCAUAUUUGCAAGCUUAGCUGCCACCACUUUUGUGUUCAUAUCAGAAGCUUAGUAAGGCUAGCAACGAUCAAAGACUGAGCAUGGGAAAGAGGCUUGAUGCUCUAUUUGGAAGAAGUUUGAAGACAAACAAAUUACAGGCCAACAUUAAGCUUGGUAUUUCAAGGCUUCCUGUCCUCAAAAACCAGCGCCAGGCUCGUUGCACCGUGGCCCGUUCUGAUGUUCUUCAAUUCCUGAGCCUAGGUCAGCAUGAGAGAGCUCUUCUUAGGGUGAGUGAUUGGCUUUUCUUGAUGUUUUCCUUUCUGUAUUUUUGUUUGUUCUUAGUGACUUUUUGUGCCCAAUAUGGUUCUGUUCUGAUAGGUUGAACAAGUGAUCAAGGAGCAGAACAUGUUGGAUGUGUAUGUUAUAAUAGAACGCUAUUGCCAUCAGUUGACCGAGAGGAUCAACCUCAUUGAGCAUGAAAGGUUGGUUUUUCUUUAUUAAGUUUGACGUGAUACAAGAAGUUGAUUUUUUUUGGUUGAUCAAUAAUGGUAUUGUUUCUUGGCUGCAGAGUGUGUCCUGAGGAAUUGAAGGAGACAGUAUCAAGCUUGAUUUAUGCAGCUUCAAGAUGCGGGGACUUCCCUGAACUUCAAGAUAUUCGUGCAAUUUUUACAUCCCGUUUUGGGAAGGAAUUUGUAGCUCGAGCUGUUGAGUUGCGAAACAAUUGUGGAGUUAAUCCUCAAGUAAAGCUAAUUGACAAAAACAGGCCCAAUGAAAAAUUUGUUUUUAGGAAGUCAAUAAAAAAGUUUGUUUUCUUAUGCGUAUUUGUUGUAUGCAGAUGAUACAGAAGCUAUCUACCAGGAUGCCAAGCUUGGAGAACAGAAUGAUGGUGCUCAAGGAAAUUGCUACAGAGAACAACAUUGUUCUGCAAAUUGAAGAAGUGGAAGUAGAAAUAUCAAAGGUAAAGUAAGCUGUUCUUAUCAAGGAGAGUAAAGGACCAGAGUAUUGUCCUCUAUGUGUAGUGCACAAAGCUCAACUUACUCUUUCAUUUAUAUGAUUUGCAGGCGCAAACGGAGACGGAUACAAAGCAGGGUCAAGCAAAACCAAAAACACCAACUCACUCUGGAGAUUUAGGAAGUGUUGAAGGAUGUUCGGACUCGAUGGAAGUGAGGAAUAAAUAUAAGGAUGUAGCUGCUGCAGCACAAGCAGCGUUUGAAUCAGCAGCUUAUGCAGCUGCUGCUGCAAGAGCAGCUGUGGAACUGUCCCGAUCUGACUCACAUGAUCCCGAUGAUCUAAAUAAUACAAAACUGCAGCCAAGAGUCAUGUCAAGAACUCGUCAGUCAUUUAAAUCCAAUUCCCAAACUGGAGAAGAAAAAGAAAUUGAUGAAGAGAAAGUAGGAAUGGCAUUUGAGAAAAUCCACCCUGCUCAACACUAUUCUUCCGAGUCUGAGGGCGAAAAGAUUAUAGCAGAAAACUUCAAACAACGCAAGAAUGAAGGGGAGAUUAAAAGGUCAUUGUCUACAUCGAGCUCAGAAUCAUUUGAUAACAACUUCAGUGGAACUAGAACAUAUUGCGAUGAUGAGCUUCUGAUGAAGCUAGAGGAAAAGGAGAUAGUUUUUGAUGAAAGUGAUGAUGAGACUAAGGAGAAAAGCAGAACAUUUUUGUCAAGAACCAAAGAUUUAGGUUUAGAAGAUAAGCAAACUUCGCAAAGGAAGAAGAUUCCGGAUUCUGAACAAAGGUAUUCUAUUAAAGGAGAUAUCAACGAAGACGACUUCGGAUUACCUUCCUCUCCAGCUCACAAGCACUUUUCUUUAAGAUCUCACGCUGGCCUCAAGAAGGAAAAAGCGACAGAGAAGUUCAUCAGCUCUCGUGCAGACCACUUGAAUAUGGAGAAGAGGCCAAUUUCUGUCAGAACUAAAAGGACGUAUGGUCGGUGACAAGCUGAUGGAGAUAGCAGAUACUGCCAGAGCACUAAGUAUUGUGAAUUGCACUAAUCUCUCUGGCUGUUUUUGCAGAUUAUAUUUUUCUUUGUUCAUUUUUUGAGAAUAAUGGUUGUUAAUUCAUUAUGUUGGUUUUCUUGGUUACUUGAUUGGUAGGGGGAAGGUUGGGUUGGAUGUUAAGGUGGAAGGGAUUGUGAGACCUCUCAGAUACCCAAAAAAAAAAGGUGGUUACUUGUUUUGUAAAGCUUAUAGCUAUUGUAUCCUUUAUCAAGAUUCAGAAUUUUCAUACAUGAGUUUUCCUUUCAAUUUGAUGCAAAUACCCGUGAAACCAUUACUCCCAAAAAGCUAUUUAAAUGGAAAAAAGAGGCAUAACAUAUUUACCAAGGCUCCAAGCGAAUCAAAAUGUAUUGGACGAAGCUUGGGUGCUGCAGCCUACAGGCAGUAAAACUGAAGGCAUCUUACAAAGAAAAUUUUCAUGGCCGAAUUGGCUAUUUUCAACAGCAGAAUGUACAUACCUACCCAAAAUGCAAGUAAAUGCUAUUGUGGUUAACAAUUUAUCCCAUAACUGCUUUUAAAUAACAAGCUUUUGCCAACAACAAAAGCGAAAAGGUUACAGUCCAGGAGAUCAGAAGUAGAUUUUUUUUUUUUUUUUUUUUAUAAGAGACUCUGAAAUGAAGACUUCGUAUGCAGGAUUAAGAGUUCAUGGUAGUAAAGUAUCGAGCUCUACUGCUUAAGAGUCCUCUAAGCCAAAUUUGAUUUCUACGCUGACUGCAAAACCAUUUGAUUUAUUCCAGUUUGAAAAGGUUUAUCACAUGAUGAAAGUAGAUCAUAUUGAAAUAGCUAACCGGAAAGGAUAAUUAGGUGAAAACCAUAAUUGUCAUCUUUAAAGCUCUUGUCUUGACUGUUGAUCAGACUAAUGAUCUUUCUUCUAAUUUGUUCUAGUUCAAAGCUCAGAUGUAUUCAACUGUCAAUCUGAAGUAUGGUAGAAGUUGUACAGUGAAAAUAAAAACAAAAUGAAUCAAAUGGAAGCAGAAACUUUAUUCACAUAAAAUAGUCAUUUGAGAUCUAAACAGUACCCACACUUAAUGAUAUGUAAUACAAAAAAUUUUCCGCAUAAACCAUGCAAAACCUUUUGUAUACAUACAAGAACAGUGUGCUUUUGUGCAGAAAAAUUACAGGCCUCUGGCACGCUUCUUUCCUUGUUGCCUUAGGUCAAUAAAGGAUUGUAAACUCACUCCAACAUCUUCAUCAUACUCAAUCCCAAGUUCUUCCUGUAAAUUUAAAUGCCAAUUAUGAAGCGAAAAUUGCAGAAUCUGACUAUUACGUUAUGAGCUUAAGAUGUACCUUGAAUUCUUUAAGGUCUUUGGGUGAGUUCUCAGUUAUAGCAUCCCAUAUAUCUUUGAACAUCCUUUUCCGUCUUCGCCACUGGUUUACUGUUUCAAAAUACAUCCCCUCCACAGCUUUUCGCUCUUCUGGAUUGACCAGUGUUACUCCUUCCCUUAACUUAGUCAGUUUCUCUUCCAUAUCUUUUACCUAAAACACAAGUUAAGAGUUCAAACAUUCAUUCUGAAGUUUCUAGUACAGAGUAUCAGGCUGGUAGAGUAAUUGAAGAAUUUCAGUGUCACCAACCUCUUUUCUUAUUUUGGCUUCUUUUUUGUGUACCUCUUCCAGUGUCAAAUUUGACUGCAGAGCUUUGAUUUCUGCAUCAGCAUUAAGAAAUCCAUCCCAUAUGAACAAAAACCCAUGUUCAGCAGCUAAUCAGAAUCAUUUAAAUUGCAUACUCCCAGAUUAAUAACUAGCACAAAAUAUGUGAUUAGCAAAGACGGAACCAAGUCAUUAAUCUUGCUAACAAAAAUAUACAGAGAUUUGAAGAAGACAACCUCCCUCAACUGCACUGAUUGCUUUUCUUUGCCCAUCCAGCUCUUCUUGCAGCUUGAUAUUUUCCUCUUUCAUCUGAUUAAGCUCUUCACCAUUUGGAAUGUCAAACUGAUCUUGUCUAGCAAGAUAGAUCUUCUGCUUUCCAUAUUCCUUGAAUGAUAUCUUUCCGCUAUCAGCAAGAGUAUCUAAAGCUUUCUGUAUUGCCCCCUUUUUGAGAUUGAACUUUUGUAGACAAUCAGCCACAAUUUGUGAAUUCAACGGCUUAUUUUGCUGCAUUACAGACCCAAAGACAAACAUAAUAACAAUUUCAAAGAAAAAAAAGAGACUCCAGAAUUACUUGUAUAAGCAAACAUAUUAAUUCAAACAAAAAAAAACUUCUGAUCCAAAAAAAUACACAGCACUUAAAUGCACAAAAAGCUUUGACUGCUAAAUUUAAAUGCCCAGAACUCUUCCUUGUGAAAAAAGAGAAAAUCUGAUGACAGUACUCAAUGUUUCGCAGUAAUAUUUAAAUGUUCAGAGUUUACGGCAACAUCAGUAGAACUUCUUAAUAAAGUAUGCGGAAUUUACAAAACAAAUAAACAGAUUUAAAGCUUUAAUCCCAAAGUUAAAUCCUAGUAAAUAAUACUCUACUUACUAAAAGACAUUAAAGAAGGGGGAAGUCAUAAUGAAAAAGAGAACAAAUUCAAAACAUUGAUAUUAUGACUACGAUAUAUAGUGUAACUUCAAAUAAAUCCAGAAAAAGGGACACGACGAAAUUGGGGAAAUUACGAAGACAUGUUACCUCGUUCACGAAAUUGAGCACGAUUCCUGCAAAAAUGAAUCAACAGACAAAUGAACUGCUUAUUUAUAAUUAGAAGCUCAAGUAAAAGUAUGCUUUCCACGAAACCCCUAAAAUCAGAACCAAAUUUGAAGAAACUAAAGAAAGUUUCAAUUAAAAAUUGAUGCCGGUUAAUGGAUUGUGGAUUAUUUGCUAGUGUAGCUGGAGAUGUAUAAGUCGAGUGAAAGCGAGGCGAAAAUAGUAAAAUUACCUUCGGUGCUGUCGGAUUUAGGAGCCAUGGCCGGAGAGAUUGUCCAACAGGAAGAUGGCGAUGAAAGAGUGUGUGUGUGUGUGCGUGAUGGCGGGAAAAUGAGUUGCUUAAUCCACUCUGAGUGUGGCGAAAAAAGUGUGCUGCGUUCGACAAAGUGAGGAACAAGAUUAAGCCAAGCGAUGUCGUUUGAGUGCUAUAGAAAUGUGGAAGAAUAGGGUAUUAUGGAUUUGUUUCUAUUUUUUUUUGGUCAUCACGAUAAUAUUUUUAUAACUUAAUCUAUUCUAAUUUAGGAGGAGGGGAAGCCAAUGGGAGUUGAAUCUCUUUGGAGAAAAGCCACUGAAGGUAAUCACAUAUAAUGGCAAAUUAGUGGGAGAUAGGAUUGAAUUCUUGAUCUUACACACCACCAAAACUUAGUUGUUAGGUGGUGACCACCAACCGAUGUAGAAUGUGCCAAAACCUCAUUGAUCAUAAUCAUUUAAUCAACAAUACUACUCAUGGAUAGAUUAGAUUUUUAAUUUUGUUUUGGCUACUGAAAAAUCCAAUAUGCAAAAACAAACAAGAACAAAAUUUUGAAUAAUCUGUAAUCAAACGAUUACACUUCUAUUAAUUGAGUUGGAUUUUGAGCAUCAAGUUUUGGGGCUAUUUUAGGCUGAUAAUUGUUAUUUCAUUUUUAAGUUAUCAUGUGUAUGCAAAAGAGGUAUCACAUUAAAAUAUACUAGUAUAAUAUGUAUUCCCUUUUUAAAAUAUAAAUAAGUAUAACAUCAAUGUAUAAUAGAUAACCUAAAAAAGUAUGGAUUAAUCUUUUAUAUACUAAUUGUGUAUAAACUAUCACAAUUGAAUGCAUGACAAUUCAUCUGAAUGUAAAUUUAAAAUCUAAAUUUUAUUCAUGUGUCAUGCAUCUAAUUGUUCUAGUGUAUACACUGUUUGUGUAUACAAUAUUUACUCGAAAGGUAAACCACCUAAAUCUCGAAGAAGAAUGAUGCAGAUUAGAUUAAACCGGUUAAAGGCGUGAUAUUUAGAUACAGAGCACUUUGAGAGGGGUGUGGAUUUACGUUGCUUCAUAAAUCGGAUGAAAUUAUAUAGCGACUUCAAAAGCAUCCACUAGAAGGCGUGGAACCGUAUUCUCUGAAAAAAGUACUUGAAUAAUGCUACACCACGUAGCCGUAGCCCCAUCCAAAUCCCACCGUCGCCAAGUCCUACUGAAAUAGCUACUGAGCUUCCACCAUCCUGCGCUAGACAUUUGUACCUCCUCUUUUUCUUUCUAACUGGGAUUGAGUGACCGGAGAGAAUUUCACCGGCGACCGGCCGUGAAAUCUGAAAAUGCUGACGGCGAGAACCUUUCUAUGCAAGCCAUUCAACUCAAGACCGCCUUCGUGGGCGCCGAGCAGCGUUAACCACGUCGCAGCUGCUAACACCAAGAAAAGGCAGAGUGAUACUAAUUUUGAUAAAUUCAAGACCAAGGAGAAUAAGGGGUGGUUUAAAUUUGGAAUUACUAGUACUGGACUUUAUCUUUCCAGUGGGGCUCGCCGUCGCCGGAAUUCCACUCCCAUUACAACAACCGCCGGCGUCGGUGGUGACAGUUCAGUUACAGAGUUGGAUGACAAUAUAAGGAAAUUACUGCAAGCUGUCUUAUGGGUUGCUGAGGGAGUCUACAUUUUGUGGCUCUUCUUGCUUCCUUAUGCUCCAGUAUGUUCCCCGCUCCCUCCUUCUCUUUGGUUCUUUAAUUAUGCAUUGCUUAUUGCAAUUUCAGAGUUGUUCUUAUGUUGGUUUUUCUGACUUUACGUUUUCAAUCUAUUUGGGGAAAUUAUUGGGAGGAAAAGUGCCGCUUUACGGUUCUUAAUCGGUUAUGUUUAUUUCCUGGGAUGAAUUGAAGACAUGUUUAUAUGUUGAUAUAUGCAGGGGGAUCCUGUGUGGGCUAUCAGUUCAGAGACGGUCAAUUCUCUAGUGGGCCUGUCUCUCAAUUUCUUCUUCAUUUUGCCGCUGUUGAAUGCUGGUAAUUGAAACUGUAUUGGUUAUCAUACAAAUUUAGAAGCUCCAUUUGUGAACUCUCUCUUUGUUCCCGCGUAAUCUUACCGUCCACAUUUGCACGAAGACCGGAUACACAUUUCUAAUUGAGUCCUAGCAUUCUUGUUGCCACUGAAUUAGAUUUUUCUGUUCCCUUAUUUGUGCAAUAAAUUUUGGCAGAGUAGUUGGAGUUCAUACAUUGGAGGCACCAGUGCUUCACCCGGUACUGGCAAAUCUCUUUUGAUAAGCAGUUAUUUUUGUCCCUAGAGUUGUUGAUUGAUCUGAGCCGAUCUUUGACAUGAGUUGUUUUCUCCUUCUUUAGAUGUCUGAGGGAUUGUUCAACUUUGUUAUCGGUUGGACCUUGAUGUUUGCUCCUCUACUGUAUACCGAUUGGAGAAGAGACAGAUAUGGGGGUUCGUUGGACGUUCUGUGGGGAUUCCAAAUGUUCCUUACAAAUAGUAAGAUUUCUCAUAAGCCCUUGUACUUGUCUUGCUGUGGAAUUGCAGCUACAAAUUCAUUACCAUCAUGGCUUUUUUUUGUCUGAAAAUAUAGUUUGAAUGAGAUUUUAUCAAUUUGCUACUAUAAGCAUAUUCUUAAUGUUAAAUUUUCAGAUUUUGGUAAUUUCACACUGCUGUCUAACUGUGAUGAAUAUGAAGUUGUUUCCAGCAUCAAUAGCUUUUGUUGGGAAAUGAUCUAAUACACUAAGCAACUUGCUUUUAAAGCCUAAACUUUAAUAAGCAAAAUAAGUCAUAAUAAGUCAUCUGUAUGAUUUUUAUCUUGCAAUUUUUCCUCUAUCUCACAAAUUCUGAGCUUCCUGCUCAAUUGUGUCUUACGCCAUGCUGCGCAAACAACAAGAGGGAGAUCAUCUGAUUAUUGUACUUUUGAUGGAAAAAGAUUUCUAGAGCUAUUUUCUUGAUGGCUACUGUAGUUUCCUUCCUCAAAAUGGUUGGGGACGUACCACUACAAAGCUCUUUUUAAGUCAAGGAUCUCUUUCAUUUUGACCCUUAUUAAUAUAGUUUGAAAAAUUUACCAAUCCUGUGAUUGCUAAAAGUUUUCAAGAGGUAAUUCCUUCUGACUUUUCUUUUUCCUUUUUUUAAGCUAAGUUGCUUUCCACUGUUCUUUCAUAUAUGAACCAAAUUUUGUGAAGGUUGAUUGCUAUAUUUGUUGGUUACAUGAGUUUUGCAUUGUUUCAUAUUUCAGCAUUCUUGAUACCAUACAUGGCCAUCCGUCUGAACAAGAUCGGCACGGAAUAUAAUCCAAGGAAGACGUCUCAGCUAGGUUCCAUUAUGACUAAAGGUGCACCAGUUGUUGGACUGAUUGGUGCAGCUGUUUGUCUGCUAUCCACAGUGUGGGCGCUCUACGGACGAGGAGAUGGAAGUUUUGGGAGUGUACCGGAAAGAUUAGAGUUCUUGAUGAGUUAUCUGGGCUCUGAAAGGCUUGCAUAUGCCUUUGUUUGGGAUAUCUGUUUUUAUGUAAUAUUCCAGCCAUGGUUGAUAGGAGACAACAUACAAAAUGUUCAGAAAGAUAAUGUUGCUGUAGUUAGGUAUCUUAGAUAUAUCCCUGUAGUUGGUUUAGUAGCAUACUGUCUUUGUUUGAAUCCAGAUCAGGAGACAUAGCUGGAAUAUACAUCAGCUCACUAUAGGUGUUUAAUUCUUCAACUUUAUCUGAUACUCAGCUCACAUUUUCUGUUCCUAUAAAAUUUUUAUCUUGUAGUUUCUAUUUAAACGUAGAGAAUUCCAAAAUGGUCUCAUCUAAAGCAGCACAUUUCUUUGAUGUUUGUAGCGAAAGUCCUUGCCAUUUGUUAAUGAGCAAGGAUACUGAUCACCUAGGAUAUGCAAGUUUGGACUAUAAGAAGCACUUGACGUGUGAAUGUCAUUUAGCACCAUCCGGUGAAACAGAAAUUCCAACAGGUGGCCACUCUACGUCAUUGAUGCUUCAGAGCAGGCUGAAGAAUGCUCGGAAAACUUUUGUUUUGUAUUGUUUUCUUUUUCCUGCUCCUUAAUCUUUUCCUAAUGCAUCAUCUCAGCUCUCACGUUUCAUUGUGUGGUUCCUUCUAGAUAACACUCUUUGGGGAUUAACUUCUCUGGAACUUCAGUCCAUAGUGAAGUAUUUUCUGGAAUAAGGACUCGGUAUGAUAUAGAAGUCUGGAAUAAGGACUCGGUAUGAUAUAGAAGUGAUCCUUCCAGAGAAAUUGGAAUCUGAUUUAACUUUUAAGGCCUCAAAAAUGACGAAGAUCUUUUAACUGCAUGAUUUUAACUGAUAUUGAUUACAGGAGUAUGUUUCCAUUGAUGAUCCAUUCGACUGGCUUGGGCGCAUGUCAAGGAAGAAGCACCUAGUUAUGUAAAUGUUUGAAAUCACAAACAUCCAGAGUAGGACUAAACAAGCAGUUAACAAGCUAUAGUAUUGAGAACAACCCAAAUUCUGCAAAAGCAAAAUAGAAUUUUGAUAUCUGGAGUAAAAAUUUGCACCAAAAAAAAAACUGAUUUCAGUAUAUUAUUGAGACAAAUUGCCGCCGCUCUGCUGCCAUAAAUUGAUGAUAUCAGUUGCCUGAUUUAACAGGAUAAUCAUUUUCUUCUGGGAUACCCAUGACUUGCUCUCUAGAGUAGCUCUAAGCUCUUCCCAUGCAUCUUUCCUCGGCCAAAAGAAGUAGGGGCUGAGAGGAACAGCUCCAUGGCCUGGUAUCUUUUGAUCCAGGGCCAGACCAAUAUUCUUUUCCAUCCAUAUGAACUUCAACACCAGCUCAGGCUUUGGCUUCUGUGCUCCCUUGGCCACCGUUUCGGCUUUCUGAAAAUCAAGAAUUAAACAAAAAUAAACACAAGGAUCACAUAACAUAAACGAACUCAAAGGGAACAUAAACAGACAUGUACUGCAGGUUCGGGUGAAGGCUCAGCUGGAGUUUCUGUUUCUGUUGCAACUUCUUCUGCUGUAGCCGCAGCCUGGAGCGUCUGAAUUGUGCUAAAGGGCUUUCUUUUGAAGCUCAGAAUGGUUGGUGAAAUUGGAGAAACAGCUCUAGACUUCAAUGAAGCGGAGGUUUGGAAAGGUACGCAACAAGGAUUCUGGGAAGGUAAGGAGGGAUAUGUCAAAGUGCCCUUGAUACCAGACUGCGGUGACAUAGACAACAUUGUGAAUCCUAUUUAACAGAAGAAAGAAAGAGAGAGGGAGAGGAGAAGAGGGGGUUGGGGGGAGGAAGUAGGAUCUUAUAUGUGAAAGAAUGGACAAAGCUUGAGGACUUGCUGCAUUGAUCAGUCUGGAUAAGGUAAUUAAGAUCAGAUCAGUAGAUUACUGUUUCAGAGCUUCAGAAAACAGAAAUUGAACGGCUAUAAGGCCACUGUUCCUAAGAAGGUGAAUUGGGCUGGUCCAAUAAUACUUUUAAGAGGCCCAGCCUCAGGAAAGCAAAUGACUCUCAUGCUCUCCAAUCCCCCGUGUCAGAUUAGUUCUUAAGAUUAAAUCUGUUGAAAAAAAAUAAAAGAAAGAGACCAAGGGAAGGGACUAAAGAUUUAAAGAGCGAUGUGAAAACUAUAUUGACCGGCUGACUUGUAAGAAUCUCUGUGACUUAUGAUUUCGAAAGUAUGCUCUAAUUUGUGGUGGUAAUCAGAAUUAAACCUAUUCAAACUUUCAUUUAUAUAUGAAAAAAAUUGUUUCUUCCUACUGAAACUAUAUAUUUGUCUUGUUAGCUCGUACAAGCUUGAUUUACAAAAAUGUGCGUAGACUAAAAAUCCGUUUUAGAAACUUUUUGUUGUUGUUGCAACAAACUUAUUCUUUUUUUACCAUAUGAUACUUAUCCCGUUCUAAUUAUAACUUCCUGUUUGGAUUGCUAUUUUUGGAAUUUUUGUAAAAAAAAUGUUGUAACGAUUUGUUGUAUGUGAAGCAAAAAAGUGAUAGAAAAAUGUGUUUAUUGAAAGUGUAGAAAUUUUUUGAGGAAAAAUUGCUUUUUAAAAAUGUCGAAUAAAAAGAAUUUGUUAAGCUUCAUGCCUUCACCUGCAAAGGAUUGUAAAGCUUCGAAAUUUUACCAUAAAAUACUGAGUUUUUAAAAUCCUCUGAAUACAUUCACUACAAUCAGUCCGGCAGCGGUAUUUGGUGAAUUAAAUCAUCCAGAAAUUUUCAUUAAAUCAUGCAUUGCCACACAAAUGUGUAUGUCAAAAUUAAUCUCAACUUUAUCGUUUGAAAUAGAAUAACUCCCACAAUAUACAAUUGACAACUAAUCGUCCAAAUAUCAUAUAUCUCUAUAUGUCAUUACUUUUAGUCUUUAGAUACCAUCACAAAAUACAUAUAGAAAAACAAAAUUUUGAUUUUUUUUUAAAGAAAGCAUUAAAACCAAAGAUUACAUAGCUAUAAAAAUCAGUAUAUUCUUAAAAAAAAAACUACUAAAUAUUAAGAAAUCCUAAUCCCAUCUGAAAAAAAAGAAAAUAAAAUAAAAGUAAUUUCAGAUACCUCCAUUGAGGUUUCUAUCGCUUUCAUUGACCUCCCUUGAGGAUUUAAAAAUUAUACUGACCUCCCUUAUUAAAUUUUUGGGACCCUUUGCUUACAUCAUUAGGGUAAAAUUACUGAUUUGUCCAAAGAUAUUGUGUUUAUUACUAACAUUUAUAUGAAAAAAGUUAUCUCAUGAACUAAUUAAAAGAAAUAAUCAUGCUUAAGAGGAAUAAUUAUUAUUUGAUGUAUAAUUAACAACAAUAACUGCAAUUAUCAUAGUUCUCACUAGACCUUUUUUUGAUGUGUAAUUAAUAAUAAUAAUUGUAAUUGCCUAGCCAAACUGCCAUUUCCUCUUCUACUAUAACUUCUUCUCUCCCUAAAUUAUUAUAUCUUUUUUUGCUACUUACUUCUUCUUCUUCAUCUCCACCAUACCAUUUGAAGUACAUACAAUUUGCAUGGAUUCUUUUUGCUCUCAAAUAAUUUCACUAUAGUCUUGCAAUUGUAGCUACAAUAUCUGUUCCUAAAGGUGAAAGCUGUGGGUGAAUUCCAUGGUUCCCCACUAUGGCUCGAAGAAGCUACAAUUUCUGUACCAAAAUUUUCAUUAUUAACUUGCAAUAUUGCACAACAGAAUCACUUCUUUACAUCUCAAAUAUUGAAGUUCAUGCCCCAAACAGAGGUAGUUGCGAAGUUUGUAUGCUGUUGCACAAGAAUGAAAAAAAUGGCCAUUGCACAAAACUAGUGGCCGUUGGUGUUGCUGCUAAAGCAUGGCUUUACGUUGUUGCAAAAAUACCUAUUUUUCUGGUGCUUGGACUGAAUUAUUACCAAAAAUAUAAAAGCAUGGGAGUGUGUAAUUUUUGAAACAUCAGGGGAGGUCAAUAAAAAGUGUUAGAAACCUCAAGGGAGGUUUCUGAAACUAUCCCUAAAAUAAAAACAAAGCCUAUAUUGGUUACCCUGUAGCUAUAGUACAUUGUGCUUAGAAGUUAGGACCACCGCUCUUACGGUAAACAAGCCAACGCUACCUUGAAACUGUCUCGGCUAACCGGCCAUGGAAACCACCGAGCCUCGGCCCCCGACCAAUGUUUCAGCUAAUGCCACCGUCUCCGGCGACGGCAACGAAGAUAUUCCCAGCUUGAACAACAUGCCUAACCAUUCAUCUUCUCCUAAAACGACAGCUGGCCCUACCGCUUCUGAUCCUCAACCCAUGGACACCUCAGAACCCGUUAAUGAAUCCCAACCCACCUCCGAAACUGUACCCCAAGCCGCAGCCGCUUCAACCGCUGACCCUGCCCCACCUCCGCCCAGAAAGCGGCGUCGUCGAAAGAAGCUGUUUACUGAUAUGAUAUCGACCAGCUCCGCCGCGUCCGGCCUCCGCGUCCUCCGCCCCCAUCCUAAACCCUCUACCGCCUACUCCUAUUCCUACUCCGAAACCGAGCUCGUGGACGAACCCGACGAUGGGAAACCCCAUAUCCUCCAUCGCCGCCGUGGCGGCAGCGGAGGAAGCAGUAGUAAAAUAUCCGACCUAGCUAAAGAAGUCGACAUUGAAGCCCUGAUUGCCAUAUCCGUUGGAUUCCCUGUUGAUUCCUUAACCGAGGAAGAAAUCGAGGCCAAUGUCGUCUCCCAAAUCGGCGGCGCCGAGCAAGCGAAUUACAUUGUCGUCCGCAACCAUAUUCUCGCCCGGUGGCGGUCAAACGUUUCCGUUUGGCUGACGAAAGACCACGCCUUGGAGUCAAUCCGGGCUGAGCAUAAAGCCCUUGUCAACUCUGCGUACUAUUUCCUCCUCCACCAUGGCUAUAUAAACUUCGGGCUUGCUCCGGCGAUUAAAGAAAUGAAAUUAAAACCCCCAGAAGGCGCCCCGAAGGCGAACGUGGUCGUAAUUGGAGCUGGGCUCUCCGGUUUAGUAGCUGCAAGACAGUUAAUUUUUUUGGGUUUUAAGGUUGUGGUUUUGGAGGGCCGGGCCCGGCCAGGUGGACGGGUUCGAACCAAGAAAAUGUGUGGUGAUAAGGAUGAUAUUGUUGCCGCCGCAGAUUUAGGCGGGAGUGUGCUGACUGGGAUCAAUGGGAAUCCAUUAGGAGUUCUUGCUAGACAGUUAGGAGUUCCUCUUCAUAAGGUGAGGGAUAUCUGUCCUUUGUAUUUACCUAAUGGUAGAACUGUUAAUCCAGAUAUUGAUUCGAGAGUGGAAGUUUCGUUUAAUAAGUUGUUGGAUAGAGUUUGUAAGCUUAGACAGGCUAUGCUGGAGGAAGUUAGAUCAGUAGAUGUUUCAUUAGGUACCGCAUUAGAGACGUUUAGGCAAGUCUAUAGGGUAGCUGAGGAUCCUCAAGAAAGAAUGCUCUUGGAUUGGCACUUGGCCAAUUUGGAGUAUGCUAAUGCGUCCUUGAUGUCCAAGUUAUCAAUGUCAUAUUGGGAUCAAGAUGAUCCGUAUGAAAUGGGAGGCGAUCAUUGUUUUAUGCCGGGAGGUAACGAGACAUUAAUUCGAGUAUUGGCUGAGGACCUUCCAAUAUUUUAUAACCGCGCAGUUGACACUGUCAAGUACGGUAUUGAUGGGGUUUUAGUGCAUGCAGGCGGGCAGGCUUAUCGAGGGGAUAUGGUGCUUUGUACUGUUCCCUUGGGGGUGCUCAAAAAGGAUGUUAUUCAAUUUGUACCAGACCUUCCAGAGAGGAAGAGAGAGGCUAUUGAGAGAUUGGGGUUUGGGUUGUUGAACAAAGUCGCAAUCUUGUUUCCAUAUGAUUUCUGGGGUGGUGAUAUUGAUACUUUUGGGCAUUUGACUGACGAUCCGAAUACAAGAGGCGAGUUUUUUCUGUUUUAUAGUUAUUCUUCAGUAGCAGGAGGACCACUUCUUGUGGCUCUUGUGGCUGGAGAUGCAGCACUUAAGUUUGAAAUGAUGUCCCCUGUUGAAUCUGUCCAGAAGGUUCUUGAAAUACUGAAGAGUAUAUUCAGCCCAAAAGGGAUAGCAGUUCCAGAUCCUGUUCAGGCAGUUUGCACUCGUUGGGGUCAAGAUCGGUUUUCCUAUGGCUCUUAUUCUUAUGUUGCAAUUGGAGCUUCUGGAGAUGAUUAUGAUAUUCUAGCAGAGAGUGUUGGAGACCGACUUUUCUUUGCAGGAGAAGCAACAAACAAGCAGUAUCCAGCAACAAUGCAUGGAGCUUUUCUUAGUGGGAUGAGAGAGGCUGCUAAUAUCUUGAGGGUUGCCAAGAGGCGGUCAAUUGUUCCAGCUGAAAGAUCAAAUAGUGCAGCUCUAGAAAACGGGGAUAUUGAUAGGUUGUUUAAUGCUCCAGACCUCACAUUUGGUAGCUUCUCUGUGUUGUUUGAUCCCAGGUCAACCGAUCUAGAGUCUAAUGCUGUAUUACGAAUUGCUUUAAAAGGUGAGAAAUCUGGAGCUGUUGGUAUUUAUCUCUACGGUUUGAUCCCCAGGAAGCAGGUGAUUGAACUAAGUAAGGUGGCUGGAGAUCUAGACCGCUUACAUAUGCUAACUCGUGAGUUUCAUGUGAGGUUGGUUGGGAGGAAGAGUUUAAGCAAUAUGGCAGAAUCUCUUCUUACAGUCAUUAGAUCCAGCAGAUUAAGUAACUUGAGUUAGAGCUCUUAGUAAAUUUUGUAGCAGAACUCAUAAGUGGGUAUUUUGUAAAUGGUUCCAGAUUGAUCUUAAUUGAUUAAAGAUUUGAACUUUACCUUUCUGUCUAUGGUCCGUUUAUUUACUUACUUGGGUAUAAUCUUUCUCUGACAUCAAAUCCUUUUGAAGUUUCAUGAUCUGAACCUUUAACUAGACUUCAUCUAGUCAAGUCGGCAGCUCUUUAGCCAUAUCUCGGUGCUUUUUCCGCAAGUACUUACAAUUUGACGUUUCUGUCAUGCCAAGCCAGGCUUAAACAUGUGAUGAUCCAUUUCGUGAAAUCGAGUGGUUAAAGAUUAGCCAGUUAAGUCUUGUAAAUCUGUAGCUUGUUAACAGUCUUGAUUGAAUCUGCAGUUCUAGUUGUCUUUUUGUUUCUCUUGCUGGGAACUUUUGUGCCCUGUAAUUUGCUGAAGUAAUCUGUAAUUUUAAUUCUGCACCCAAACUCAACUUAAUUGGCAGGGACAUCAAGCUACGCAUGGCCUCCUUAAUGCAGUUACUGUUUCUUCGAGUCUUUUCAUUUAACUCUAGAACGUUUCAUGACGUGAGACAUGGGACUUCUGAUUUUUGGUAUGGAGUUUGUACAGCUGUUCGGAAAUUUCAGCAGCCAUUUUGAAAUUAUCCAUAAGCUAGAUAAUCAAAAUACCAACUUAUGUUCCAAGUUUCUGGGCGAUCAGACUGAACACUGUAUUGCUUAAGAUGGUGCCUGACGAGAUCAAUAGAAACAUUCCAAAUGGAGAAAGGUGUGUGAUAUGAAUUCUGAAGUGCUACAGCAGAAAAGGAGACUUGGCAAUUUAGCUAAUGGUAUGGAAGGAAUGGAACAGAAAAGGUAUUUGAUCAAAACCACUAAUGUUAUUGCAAAAUGCUGGAGGCUGAGAGGAGGCAUUGAACUCGCCAAACCCUUGGAUGAUCGUUACUCGUCUAUUCAAGACCUGACCUCAAUCCUGAAUGAUUGUAGAACUUUCUUUGCUGCUUAAAUUCCAACAGGUGCAAGGGAAACGAAUGAAUAGACUGUUGGGGUAACAACAUAGUAGAUUGUUGAUGUUGGGCGACGAAGAAGACGAAAAAAAAAGAAGGGGUUGGGAGUUAUAAGUUUGGGAGAAAACCUUUUCAAAUUUUUUUAUUAACAUAUUGAUUUUUGUCUUCUCCAAUUAGGGAAUAUUUUCAUUGAUGAUUCGAGGGGUGUUAGUUUUCUGAAGAUGACUUUAAUGAAUUAAAUCUUGUCUUAUUUACUUUAUCAAUUAUUUUUUCAUACCAAAAAGGCAAAAAUCUGAAAAAAAAAAAAAAAAACACCAAAGAAGAGACCAAACUACAUCUCUUAUGUCUUAAUGAGUGGUGGGAAUACCCGUUAGAAAAAUCCUUAAAAUAUGAACACGAUGAUUGUUUCUAUGACAAAAAAUCUUUAAAUAUGAACAUGGUUGUUCGUCGUACAUCAGUGCAUCACUUGAGAGGAGAACCCAUUGAAAGAAAUGGGCCCCAAUUUUUCUUUUGUGCCCAAUAGAGCCAACUUUGUAAACGACCCAGUCUUUUGGGCUUCACAACGAAAUUUCAACCCAAUCGAAGUUGCAAUAAAAAUCUAAUUAAAAUCCACAAUAAGAUCUCUCUCUGUAUUCUCUCCUCUCUCUCUGGAACAAAGCCUUCGAAUCUGCGGAAGCCGGAGGGAGUACAUCGCCACCGGUAACUCCUCCUCCUCCACCCUUUCUUUGUUUAUGUAUAUGGAAUUAUUCUUUUGCAGAGAGCUGUGUUAAUAAUUCAUAUCUAUUUAUGAGCUCUGAUUAUAGGUUCUCUCUCCAGAUCUCAUUUCUCACAACUGCCUUUCUAAUUUUCAAUUUCUCGAGAAAAGAGGAGCUAAAUUUCCUCUAGUACUAUUAAGGACCUGGAUAUCUUGGUUUCCGCUAUGCUCGUGAUCUCUUUCUGCUUAUCAUUUCCAUUUUGAUUAUUGUUUUCAAAUUCUACACUUAUAUCUCUUUAAUUUCCAAUUACUACUGUCAUUUCUGGUAAAUAAUCAUAUUUGUUUCAGACUGAUUUUUAUGUAAGGUUCUUUUUUGUUUGGUUAGGUUCUUAGCUUAGCACAUCUUUUCAAGUUAUAGUUGCUAAAACAAUAAAUUGAGCUCUUUUUUGAAGAAAAAAUACACUAUUUUUCUCCUUGUUUUCAGUGUGGAUUCAAAUGAAAUGUUUAACCUUAAUCAAGACAUGCUACAGUCUAAUUUUACCGAAUUAUGAAGAUGAUUUUUGUUGUCUUUGCUUUUCUAGGGGAAAAUGUCGAUGGUGGAUGAGCCAUUGUAUCCAAUAGCUGUGCUAAUUGAUGAGCUGAAGAAUGAUGACAUUCAAUUACGGCUCAAUUCAAUCCGUAGGCUGAAUACGAUUGCCCGUGCUCUCGGUGAGGAGAGGACACGGAAAGAAUUGAUACCAUUUCUCAGUGAAAAUAAUGAUGAUGAUGAUGAGGUGCUGCUGGCAAUGGCGGAGGAGUUGGGAGUGUUUAUUCCUUAUGUUGGAGGUGUGGAGUAUGCUUCUGUGUUGUUACCGCCUUUGGAGACCCUUUGCACCGUAGAGGAGACUUGUGUGAGGGAUAAAGCUGUUGAGUCAUUGUGUAGAAUUGGAUCCCAGAUGAGGGAAAAUGAUCUGGUUGAUUGGUUUAUUCCUCUUGUGAAGGUUAGAACAAAAGCUUGGUGCUUCGCUGUUAAAGCAUGUCAUUCGUACAGUUUUAUGGUCAGAUGUUUGUGAAGUUGAUGCUUUGUUGUAUUUAUUUUCCGUGGACCUUUUUCUAUUUGUGGAGAUAUUCGGACACCAUAAAUUAUGCUAUAAUGCUAUCUACCGUAAGGGUGAUAUAUGAUUCUGUACGAGUUUCUUGGUUCAGAAUUAUAACUUUCAUGUGCUAGACAAUUCUUACUCAUCAUAGUUUUGGAUUUUUUUUUCUGAGAUCAGAUUGUUGGUACAUGAAAAUUAUCUGUGUUUAUGAAGUGGUUCUGUUAUUUUAUCUUAACUUUGGUUUCACCUGUUAGUUUUGAAAUAAUUUUUGACUUCUUACUGAGAAAUUACAUUGGAUAAUGUUAUGACAUUGUUAAAUUCGACCUUUUAGAGGCUUGCAGCUGGUGAAUGGUUUACUGCUCGAGUUUCUGCAUGUGGACUAUUCCAUAUUGCUUACCCAAGUGCAUCAGAGAUGCUAAAGACUGAACUUCGGUCGAUAUACAGCCAGUUGUGUCAAGAUGACAUGCCUAUGGUGAGGAGAGCUGCUGCAACUAAUUUGGGAAAGUUUGCUGCUACAGUUGAGCCCCCCAAUCUCAAGGCUGACAUCAUGUCUAUGUUUGAGGAUCUCACUCAAGAUGGUAAAUGAAGAAUACAUCUCAAUUUCUUCUUGUGACUACUGAAGACAUCAUGUAUGCACUAUCAAAUGUGUAUUAGCAUAGUUCCUUUUCUGUGAAUUAUCAGCCUCGCUUUGCAGAUUUUCUUUCCCUAGCCAACAACUUUGUGUUAAUGUAUAACAUUUAAGAUCCUUGGUUCAAAUUCCCCCUGCCCUCUCUCCGCUUCUUAAGUCCCACCCCUCUCCUGGUGAGAGGGGGGGGGGGGGAAGCCAUUUGCAAUUCAAGACUAGGCAGCCUAUAGCUUGUGGUGCAAUGUAGGUGUAGUAUUCUUUUGGUAUCAAGUCUGAACUUGUUUUCUUUGUGGGUGAUAUUCUGCAUAUGCUUGAGAACUUGUUCAUUUUUGUUCCCUAAAAAUGUUGAGCUUAUAAAUUGUUGAAAUUCUAUAAUUGUUUAGUGGGCAACUAAUGCAUAUGGUUGAUAAUUGUUUGACAAUUUCUAGUUCUUUUGCUUACUUGGAUCUUGUGCUUCACUUGAUUUCCAAGAAUGCAUAUUGUUGACACCUCACUUUAAAUGCUUUUAGCCUUUCACCAAAGAGAUAUCACGACUGCUUAGUGGUUUACAUAACUCUCUCUUUUUCAGAUCAAGAUUCUGUUCGAUUGCUAGCUGUAGAAGGUUGUGCUGCUCUUGGCAAGUUGUUGGAAUCCCAAGAUUGUGUAGCCCACAUACUCCCUGUCAUUGUUAACUUCUCCCAGGUACUCAGAAGGGGUCCAUUCACUUAUCUUUUUUUUUUUUUGGUAACUACAAGCUUUGUGGUAGGAAGCAAAAUAUUUUUAAUGGGGAAGAGUGAGCAUGGUUGUAGGUUUAAUGGGGUUUGGAACCAGAAACCUUUGAGUUUUCAAGCAGUGUUAUUAUCAUUAGAAGCAGAUCUGUUUUUGAUGGUUUGCAAGGUUUUUUAGAUUUCCAUCUUUGUAGGGGAAGCAUAGCUGAAAACUUGAGUUGAGAAGGAAGAGGAUGGUCCAGAUGACAUUGUCUGUACUGAGGAUGCUGCUAUUGCCUUUCUGAGUCUAGCUGUUUUGCUAUAGAUUUCUAGACUUGUUUUGGUUAUGUAAAAUAUCUUGAUAACUUGCUGUCUGAAUGGUUCUUAUGUUGUCUGUUAACUCAGGACAAGUCUUGGCGUGUCAGAUACAUGGUUGCGAACCAAUUGUAUGAGCUUUGCGAAGCUGUUGGACCUGAACCUACAAGGUAUCUUGUAUUUAAACUUACAUUGUGCAUGCCUGCUGAUUGUGCGAUAUUGAAAAACUUGAAGUCAUUUAACCUUGAUUUAAACUUUGGCAAUGGCCAAAUUUCCAAUUGGCACUUAGUUUAUCAACACUGAGAUUUCUGCUUAUCAUUUUUUUCCCGAUGGUAAAGCUGUUGGACCUGAAUAUAUAUCUUUCAUUAUCUGCAUAUUUUAUUCUUUGUAAAUUUAUUAUCUUAUCUUUUGCUUCUAUGGAGGAAGCGGUCUCCUUAUGAGACUUCUGACUGAUGGUAAUUAUGAUGCCAUUAAGGACGGAUUUGGUUCCUGCUUAUGUGCGCCUACUUCGUGAUAAUGAAGCUGAAGUGCGUAUAGCAGCUGCUGGUAAAGUCACCAAAUUUUGUCGGAUUCUUAAUCCAGAACUUGCUAUUCAGCAUAUUCUUCCCUGUGUGAAGGUACUUACUUAACUAACCUGAAUUGCUGCUUGGUGAUGACCUUAUUGUUCAUGUCAUGUAUGAUAUGUGCCUCUAUUUUGCAACUUUCAGGAAUUAUCAUCAGAUUCUUCCCAGCAUGUUCGAUCAGCUUUGGCUUCUGUUAUAAUGGGAAUGGCUCCUGUUCUAGGAAAGGUAGCCUUUCCAUUUAUUUAUAUUUUAUACUGAAAAUAUCUAUGCAGUUAUCUGUGCUACCCAUGCUAAGCCAAAGAACAUUAUCCUCUUGGUAAAUUCCACUGGUUGGUGAACAUGUUUAGUUGCUUCAUAUUUGUAUUUUACCUAGCAAGGGGAAACAGUUCUGUUGGUAAUUCUUUUUUAUUCAAUGCUUCUGGUAUAGGUUUAUAUUGCAGAAAUCUUUUACUGAUCUUGAACUUUUUGUACUGUAGUGCUCUGCUAUGAUGUCAAUAUAAUUUAUUACAGCUAUUUUUGCUUAUUUUCUUGUGUACUUUGUGCUUUCAUCAAGAUUGCAUUUCACUGAAUUUCCUAUCCAAUGCAGGAUGCGACAAUUGAACAACUUCUCCCAAUUUUUCUUUCCCUCUUGAAAGAUGAAUUCCCUGAUGUACGCCUUAAUAUUAUUAGCAAGCUCGAUCAAGUCAAUCAGGUUUGUGAUGUUUAGUGCUUUGGAUCUUAUUUACUGUGUUUUCCAAAUGCUCUCCUUUCUUCAUCUAUCUUCGGUUUCUUUUUGUGCAUGAUAUAUGCAUCUCGUGUUGAGAUUUUGGCAUGUAACUAAGUGUAGUUUAUGUGCUUUGCAAACUUGGAUAAAGGAAAAGAAGAUUUUGAUUCUCCUUUUGUAAUAUCUUGGGCUUCAAAUAUGAUGGUGGAUAGCAAGUAAAAUUUUCUAUAGUCAUUCUACUUUUGGCUACAACAUGGAUCAGUUGUUGAUCAAUGACUUAGAUAGUAGUAGUCUUAGUGUUUUGACUGAUGAUUCAUUACUUUUAACUGCUAAAUAAUUAUACUAAGUGCUCGCAAUUUAGUAUUUUUUCUACCCAAAAAAAAAAAACUCUGGUGUUAUUAUUAUUAUUUUUUGUAAUUUAGUAUUUUUUCCACAAAAAAAAAACUUGCAGUGUUAUCUUUUUUCUUGUAACGUGGUCCUUUUCCAAUGACAUGGUUUAUCUUGGUUUCAAAUUUUGUAUUUGUCAUGCAUUUUUUCAUGCUGUUGAGUAUAUCUCUCUACUGAUUUAUAUUGGUAUCUAAUUGCUCAACAUUGCAGGUUAUAGGAAUCGACUUGUUGUCGCAAUCUCUAUUACCAGCUAUUGUUGAGCUUGCAGAGGAUAGGCAUUGGAGAGUUCGCCUUGCAAUUAUUGAAUACAUACCGCUGUUGGCUAGUCAAUUGGGUGUAGGUUUUUUCGAUGACAAACUUGGUGCCCUUUGCAUGCAGUGGCUACAGGACAAGGUUGGUGGUAUUAUGUAAAGUUUCCUUGUAACUGAAGUUGAUGACUAUAAGUCUGAUGACAUCAGAGUGUGGAUAUCCAAAAUAAAUUAAUGUGGGAGAGACGUACUUUCUAUGCUAAUGAAUGCUUACCUGUUCGAGUGGGAAAACAACCUACCUAUUCUUCCAUUCAGUUCUGUUUUCUUCCUAUGCCAGCUUUUACUUUUCUUUGGUUUUUUGCAGAUAUUCAUUCAUCUCAAUCAAAAUCAUCAAAACAAUACUUCCACUUGUAUCAUCUCUUUAGUGUGAAUAUUUUUGCAGCAUUCAAUUUUGCCCAUCAACCCACUAAGCAUAAUGUUUUCAAGAAAAUCCAUCUUAUCCUCCUUCGACAUGUAGUUGGUAUAUAAGUGCAAAUACAUUUUUGGCUUUACAGAAAAAUUUGUCAUGCAGGUUUAUUCAAUUCGAGAUGCUGCUGCUAAUAAUUUGAAACGCCUGGCAGAAGAAUUUGGUCCGGAGUGGGCAAUGCAGCAUAUCAUUCCUCAGGUUUGUCCGAGUACUCAACUAUAAGAUGCAUUUUUUCCCUUCUCUAUCUCUCUCUUUUGAUUUGGUUGGCGUUGCCAGCUGUGCAAAAUGAUUGUUCUUAUUAAAAAUGACUCUGAAUCAGUCUGUCCAUGUACCUCGUACCGAGUAAUUAAGAUCUGGAGGUAAUCUGCUGCUCAAGUGAAUUUUAAGUGGUAAAAAUCAACUUAGAAUGCACCUGCAACUUGGCUGGUUUUAAACUUUUCCGGUAUUAUACCUAGUGGACCUGGUUUUUAAAAUUUUCGAAAUAGACUGAAUCUAAGUGGAGAAAAUGGUGCUUAAAGGGUGUUAAAUUAUUGAUAAUGCAAUUGUUGCAUCAUUUUUCUUCUGAGAAGGCCUGUAUCAGAACCAGCAGUAAACUGAGUUUGCUCAGUAUCAAGCUGCAGAACCAGCUAAGCGUUUGUAUCAUCAUAGUUGUUUUUACCAUUAAAGUGAUCAUUAAUGUCUUCUAUAAAAGUUGUAGUCGAAUGGUAUUCUUUUAUAGUGGUUACAUGUUUCGACUGUUUUCUCUAAUACUGAGGCAAGAGUCAAGGCCAUGGAAUAUAUCAUUUUCUUGUUGUGUUUUAGCACAAAAAAUAUGGGGAAAAAGAUAACUUUGAAAAAUUAGAAAACGGGGAAGAAAAUUAAGAACUUUAUCUGAUUGUGCAAGUUGAGAAGUAAUUUAAAAUUGGAACCAUGUGGUUCUAGUUUCUUGCUUCCUUGCAUAUAUGGUGCUUUGUUAUUCCCUUAGAUAAAAUAAAUGUUAAAGCACCUUUCUACAGGUUUUGGAUAUGACAAACAAUCCACAUUAUUUGUAUCGGAUGACCAUUCUUCGCGCAAUUUCAUUACUUGCUCCUGUCAUGGGCUCUGAGAUUACUUGUUCUAAGUUGCUGCCGGUGGUCAUCACUGCAUCGAAGGACAGGUCAUUGACUUUCUCAUAUUUAAUUUGGUGUUAGUAGGCUUGAUUGGAUAGCUUCCUGAACCUGCAGUUCUGACAUGUUCUCUCUUCAGGGUUCCGAACAUUAAAUUUAAUGUGGCGAAGGUGUUGCAGUCCCUGAUUCAUAUUGUUGACCAAUCAGUAAGCAUUGCUUGUUUUUCUCUGAAUCUUGCUCUUUUUACAUGUUGAGUUCGGUUAACUUUGACUUCUUUGUUUUAUAUGCAAAUAUUGGGACUUUGUUCGUGCUUAGGUGGUGGAGAAAACGAUUCGUCCAUGUCUGGUAGAGCUUGCUGAGGAUCCUGAUGUUGAUGUCCGUUAUUAUGCCAAUCAGGCACUUCAAUCAAUUGACAGUGUUAUGAUGUCCAGCUAGACCGUUUUAUCAGACGAGAAUUCAUCACAGAAAUUUUUAUUCCGGUUUCUUUUCCUGGUGUUUCUGGAUAAAGACUGUCUGAUUGAAAUAGCUAAUUCAAAGUUUAGUGUUGAUUUUCUCCCUUCACUCGGCUGAGUGCUAGUGUAUGGCAAUUCCUGAAUAUUGUUCAGAUAAUUCGAGGAUGCUUGUUGCUAAUGUACAUGUUUGUCACUUGUAAAAUUACAGUUCAAUGACAAGCUGCAUUGUGCUUGAAUUAAAGAGGAGAAUGCACGUGACCUCUCUUUUUGAUUUUUUGAUCUUUAUAGUUGGGGAUAUAAUAUCAAUGAACAUGGUUUUAACGAGUAGAGAUGGAAGAUUGACCAUAAACUUAUUUUUGUCUGAACGAGUGCAUAUUCAAAAAAAAAGAAAAAAAAAAAAGAAAGCCUUUUAUUCAUGAACAUAAUGUGAAUAGAAAGAAGACCUUUUCGAUCACUCCAAACUGACAAAUUUUCUGAGGGAAUGUCCUAACAUAUCAUCAAUAUUAUUCAAAAUAAAUGUGUAUUGUACAGAAAUUAUGUGUAAAAAUAUGACUGCGUCCCCAAAACUUUUUUUGUUUUAAGGCAUUUCCGUAAGCUUCUGUGAGAUAUUCCGCAGGCUCAAUGCAACUUUGAUGAUUUGGAGUGGCUGCAACUUACCUGGGGGUUGAGGCAAUAAGAAAAGAAGGGUGGCUCCUGCCAAAACAUUUCAACCACCAACUCAAGAAAAAAGACCAAAAGAUUUCAGCAGUUGAUUUCUUCCUCCUUGAGAGCAGUUUAAAUAGGACCACAACCAAGAAGCUCUCCACAAAGCACAGCCAACGCCACACUUUCCAUCUGCGUUAAGAAAUCAUUCUUCUCCCACAGACGAGCAAAAUAAGAUCAAGUAUCAUGACAGAAGUAAGUGAGAAGCUGGAAGAAGAAAAGUACCUAAACCUAGAGCAUCCCCUGUCCAGGUACUUUAAAGUUUCUCGACAACUGUGAAUAUUGUAGAUAUGAUAUAAAUUCACUAGCUUGUAUCAUAGUAUCUAUUUUAUUUUAUUUUACAUAUUAUUAUGAUGAAGUUUGGAACAUUCCUCCAAAAUGGAUGCCCAUGAACAGGCUUGGUCACGUUAUUUGGACCGUUCCUUCAUUAUUAUUUGUCUGAGAUUUGGAAUUAGCAUUUGUAUCAGAUUAUGUAUUCUUUUUUUUUUUCCUUGUUUUUGACAGGGAAAAGACUUCAUGAAGAUUUCUGGAACACUCAUUUGAGCAAGAUUAUUUUAGCUACUAAAAUCAUGAAGGAAGUGACUGGGGUGAUGAACCGUUUGAUGGCCUCAUCCUCGAACCUUCAUGAUGGUCAAACGUUGGUUUUGGACUAGCAAAACCAACUUCAUGAUAGUCUUUAAAACACCACCUUAGCUUCCAUACUGGGCUAGAAACUAAGGAAAGCAUUCAAUUUUUCAUUUAGCAUUGCAAACAUACAAGUGAAAAUAUUAUUAUGUAACUUAUUUGUCAUUGUCAAUUUAUCAUUUGGUAAGUGUAUGAAUUUGUUCUUGAUCAAUUUGAAUUUUACUUGCUUGGUUUUGAAUCAUAAGGGGAGACAUUAAUACCUGCCAUUGACGUUUAUUAAGUUGAUUCUAGUGCAACUUCCAAAUCUCUCCCAAACAAUUCCUUCUCAGAAAUCUCUAAAAUCCCUCCGACAUGUACAAAAUUUUAGUACAUCAUUUUUUGUACUACUGAGUAUACAUCAUUUUCAAGUCCUAGAAUUACAUUCUUUUUCUUCCUCACUAUUAAAAUGUUGAUUUUUAUUGGAUUACAAACAUAAAGAAUAGGAUUGGAUCAUUUGGUCUUAUUUUGGUACCAUAUGAAAAAAAAGGCUUUUGAUAACAACUCACUCCUACUUUUCUAAAUACAGUACGUAAUUCAAACGACGUUAGGAAAAAAACAGGCCUAUCUAGAUCAAAUGGGUGUAUUACAGGGUGCGAAAUUUGAACUCUCGACCUAUAAUUUAGUUUAAAGAGGGAUUUUAAAUCCCCUUUGAUGACCAACACGUCAGCAUUUUAAGUACCCACUCUUCUAGUUUACGAAACUCAAGCCAACCACCGGGAUUUGCAUGAGCAAUUUCAUGUAGUUACAAGUUUUGGUCAAGAAAAAGGUGCCUGUUGUGCUUGUGCAGCAUGCUUUGACGGAUAAUAUUCCACUCCCCCGACUUAGGCAAACUUAAAAAGGCAAAGCAUCAGAAUAUAUCUAUAUUGGUACAGCUAUCAAAUCGAGUCUGCUUGGCACCUGAAAUCAACGAUUUCGUCAUAGAAGUUUUAUUCGAGGGAUGCAUGUGGAAUAAAAUGAGAGCACGUAACUGAGAGCAAAUGAUCAAAUGGGCGAAAGCAACACAUCUCCACUUAGUUAUAUGAAAGCUUCUCACAAUUCACUAUUUUGAUUCUAAACUUAUUACUUGUAGUAAAAUAUUACUAGCAUCAAAAUGAAUAUUAGACUCAACAUUUCAAGUUGUGUCCAUAGUCUAUUAAUUCAGAUAGAAUUGUACUGCUAAGUUAAACUAAUUUUAAUUUUAGAUAAUUAAUUUGUGGGAACCUUUCGUUUUGCACUAUAUUUAUUCAAUUGUAUAAAGAUGAGAACCAAGUCAUGAUACAUUGCCCCAUCAACUUCAAAAAUUUUCAGAAGAAGGCUUGAAACUUUUAUAAAUUUUUAAGUUUUUAUCACAAUCGCCCCAUCAAUUUUUUGGAAAUAUCCUUCUCCAUUGAUAUCGCUCCCCUGUAUCCUGAAAAGUCCUCGUCUUCUCCAUCCUGAAUAGCUCCACAAAACUAUAUGAUGAGAAAUGAAAAAUGGAAGACGAUCAAUAUAUUCUUCGGUCGAAAUGCUAUUUCCUUGAAUUAACCCACCCGAGAUACCAGUGGAGAUUGUUAUGUGAUUUAAAGUUCAAGAAAAAGCAUAUGAUUAAAAGUAAAGGCAACACAGCCAUUGGUUUGACAAAAAAUGGGACCAUAUACAGCAAACAAAACCUAAGUACUACUGCUAGAAAAAAGUGAAGACAACAAAUUAGAGAUGAAAAGUGGGACGUACAAAUGUUUUGGAACAGAAGGUGUUAAUACUUCGGAAAACAGAUAAAAGACGGAUGAAUGACAAAAAAGCAAAUCGUGUACAAUUCUUGAUUCAUAUACACGCAAACUCGAGGACAAUGAUAGAAAACUAGUUGCAUGUGGGAUGUCAAAGUUAGUGCGCACCAAAUUAACACCAGCAAUAGAAAUAUCAGUAGCAUUUUAAACCGACGAAAAAGGCAAAAAGGAAAACCAAGAAAGAGAAUAACAAAGCAACACCAAAAGAAAAUAUACAUAUAUUUCAACCAUAAACUUUGCUUCUAAUUACAAAUGAACAUAUUAUACAAAAGCCCGGAUUCUUGACUAUCUACUGAUGAAGUUCUUGAUUUGGAAGAUUAACUCGUCAGUUCGAGUUAUAGCGAUCUGAGACUUGUUUAGAAUCUGAAAUGCAUGCCCGACCCCUUUAGACACCCCAUGCUCGACUUUCUUACCAGCACUAACUAAAGCAUUGCAAACCUCCAAAUUUCUGUCUUUCAAUAUGUCCAUUUCAGAUAUACAAACCACCAUUGGCACGAGCCUUAUAUCCUCCAAUUUUGGAGCCCCUUUUGCUAGUGGAUUGCACCAUGGGUGGUCACGGUUCGCCCCCACCGGCAAAGAUAGCCUCCAAUAUGUAUCUGAUGCUGCCAAAGUAAGCGCUGACCUAGGCGGCUGCACCAUAUACUUCUCUGAGUAAGUUCUGGACUCUCCUCCAAAAAAUGGUUGAAUCAAGAUCGCCCCCUUAAAGCCUAAUGGGCUUAAGGCCUCCAACUUGCCACCGGGCGAUCCCAGGCGGAUGGCGAUGUUGUAGGCGAUAUUUGCACCAGCACUAUCACCAGCAAGGAAGAUGCUGGAGAGGUUGCAUUUGCUAGUGAACCACUCAUUGGCUGCACUGAAGGCUUGUUGUUUGACCCAAAAAAGGGCCUUAAUGCCAUCAUCAUAUGCUGCUGGAAGAGGGUUUUCUGGGGCCAGACGAUAGUUGACUGACAUGAUCACACAAUUGGCUUUUGAUGCUAAUUUUGCAAGAAAUUCAUGGUAGCAACUCCAGGAAGCUGAACCGACGCAAAAUCCACCACCAUGAAAGUAUACUAGUAAAGGGAGUUUGGCACGGCAUUUGGGCACGUAAAACCGCGCCCAAACGUUUGUACAUUUGUCAAUGACGAUAUCUGUGGAGGUCAGGGCCUGAUCUGGAGCCACGGCACACGUAACACUUGGCACAAUCUGGGGUCUUUCCACGUGCCCAUCUUUGUAAACCUUAAUAAGCCCUUCAAUUUCUUCAUGAACUCUAUGUUGCUGAUUUUGUUCUUUGUUGAACUGAAGGCUCAAGCUCGGAUCAAACGUCAUGGCAGCCAUUCUCCUCUUUCUCAUAAAUAAAAGAUGUGCAAAUCUACCGAAGCCAAUUGUUAAAUGAUGCUUCUGUACUCAAAACGAAUAUAGACCAUGGACGCCUUUUAUACAGGCAGGGGGGCGUAAAAUUAGAAGGAGAAAUAUAAGGUCAGUUUUUGGUUCGGGAAUCACAUCAAGAUUCAAAUCCAAAAGUGGGAGGAUAGGGGCCUCCUAACUUUCAAUACCAUUAGGACAAUUGGGCAAGAUUGAUACUAGUCUUCACAUGGAGUCUACGAAGGUGGGCAGCAAUAUACAGAUCCCCCUUUCAACACCUUUAGGUUUUAGGUAUAUCCGAACUGAUAAAAAAAGAAUGUGAACGUAUUGCCAUUUUUCUCACUUCUAAUCACUUAAAGGUUCCACAAGUACCAUAAGUCAAUAAUCAUUCUCACCAAACUAAGGAAACUAUUUAACCAAACAAAUUUAGUGUUAAGAAAAGUUGGAGUUUAUUGCCAAAAUAACACUCUUGUUAAAAAAUAUUCCCAAUGUGAUUUACUUUCAAAAUUUAUUCCCAUAAUGAUGUUAUUGUUGCCAUCUAGUUAUCCUGAUUACCAUGCACGAUAACAAGAAAAGAAAGUUCAAAUCUAAUUUAUAGUAUCCAACAUGAACUAAAAUUUUAAAUUUUUUUUAUUACAGCGGCACAAGAAGAUUUCAUAACUUUUAUAAUUUCUUUAUAAUUAUUUAAAAUAAAUUCUACCAUUAUUGACCUUGCUAUUAUUGGGCUCUAAUUUUUUAAAAAUGUAUCAAAUCUAUUGCAUAUAUAUUUUUCAAAAAAUAAAUUUUAAAAAUACAAAAGUUGCAACAAAAAUUUCAACAAAAAUUGUAAGCAAUUUAAAAACUUCAAGACUAUCAUAUUUAUUUAUGUUAUCAUUCCUACUCCUUAAAAAGACACGAGAAUAAUUUUCAUUUGCCUUGAGAUUAUCAACUCGAGAAGCAUAUUUUUUAGAUGCUGUUAAUAUAAAUAUUGACUUCUUAGAAUUACAAGUGUGUUUGGAUUGAAGAUUAUUUCACUUUAUUUACACCUUAUUUACACACACUGACUUGCUUGUAUCAUCAACACAUUUUUCUCUCACAUACAUCAUAUAAAAAAAAAUGCUACAGUAAAAAUAUCUCAAAUAUAUGUUUGACAAGGGAAAGAUAAUGAAACAAAAAAAUGCGAGAAGAUUUAGAAAGAAAAUUGGAGAAGAUAUUAGAUGGAAAAGAGAAAUGGAAUGUGUUUUUAUCUCCAUCCUGACACAUAUGCUGCCUGAGUGGCAAAAAAAGGAUUAUAAAGGUAAUAAAUUAUAAAAAUAGGUUACUUUGGGUAUAUGUUUUGGAAGAAAAGUUAUUUUGGCAAUAAACUCAGAAAAGUUGAUUAAGGCACUAAAAAACGUGUCUCUAGUACAAACACGUUGUCUCGAAUACCUGUCUGGAUCCUUCAGUUUUUCAAAAACUAGUUUUUUAAAUACUAUAAAAAUUUUUAAAAAGUAUUCUAAAAGAUACUUUAAAAAAUAUCUCAAAAUAUAUUUUAAAAACUUUACUACUCUUAAAUAUUUCAAAAUAUUUUCUAGAAAUAUCUCAAAAUAUACUCUAAAAAUUUUGCUACAGUAAAAUUUUAGUAAAAUUUUUCAAAAACACCAUAAAAACAGCUAAUCCAAACGAAGUCCAAAAACCAUACCUUAAAGGUUUAUUAUACAUAUGGCUAAAGAUGUGCAUCUUCUAUUUUGACUACCCCAAGAAUAAUAUUUUGGAGUGCGUAUUUAUAUAAUCAAUAUUUGAAAAUUUGGUGGGGUGAUUUCAUCUUGUCAUGUUUUGGACCAAACCGGACCACAACACAACCGACCUCAACUGAGGCUGUCCCCCAAGAAGGCAAGAACAUACUUUCGUAGAACAAUUAUUAAGCUACCUUUAAAAUUGGGGAAUGCUAGAUAUUUCACCCACAAUGAGAUUGGCGUGUGGAACUUGAAAGUUGACGGUGCUGCUAAGUGAUCCAGACACUUUUGGAGAAGCCGAGCAGCAAACUUUUUAAAGAAGCCCCCCUUUCCCUAUUAUAUUAUGAGGACGUCCGUGGAACAUGCUUGUCAUCGCCCUCGUGCCUUUCUGAGCCCACAACAAAAAUUGUUUAGUUUCUUUGGUCAAAGCCAUCUGUUAGUCAAAAAAAAAAAAAUUUUUUUUUUUUUUGGCCUUUUCAUUUCAAUUGGUUACAGAGUAUUCCGAGUGUCCGUUACAUCAAGUCUUCACCUCCAAUAGCUGUAUCUGAGUUGAGUAUCUUGAGGAAUCAGGUACUUCAUAUCUUUCGUGUCCAACUCUUCUUUUAGAAGUAUACUUUUUUUCUUUUCUUUUUUUGGGAUAGCAAGCUGCACAAGUUGAAGACUGGCCUAUUUUGAUUUUUAGCCUGUGCUCAGCUGCUCUUUGAUACUGAAUAUGUACAUUAAUUUCAAAUUCUUUGAAAUUGCAAUAAAAUUAUUACAUGGUAUACUUUUGUUGAAAAGAGAGAAAUUAGAAUAAUACAGUCAGAAAUUUUGUGACGUAAUAAUAUAUGUGAGAUGAAAGGUGAUUAAAAAGAUUUUAAAAAAUAUAUUUAUAAUUAUAAAAUCAAAAUCAUACUUACAAAUACUAGCCAAUUCAAACUCCCUCGUUGCAUCAAGAAGCAAGCAGGAAAUUUCAAAAGGUAGGAUCGAUGAUGACAUGAUGCUAAAGAGGAUCAAGAAGAUAAAGAGCAAAAUAUAUGCAGCUGAGAAUAAAAUCAUCAAAGUAUAUGCAACUGGCCAACCACCUUUAUUCUUUACGCAUCUUCUAUCUUUUUGACCACCAUUGUUCGCUAUUUCGGAUAAGUACUUCUGUACUGGAAUUGUACAGGAAUGAACAGUUUAAUCAGAUGGAAGGGAGGAAUCAUUGCAUAUUUGUAAAUCAGACGUCUGAUCGAGAUCUUUGAUCUCUGAUCAAAAGUAGGCAGCUAAAGGCGUGCAGCAUUUGUGUUCAGGAAUUAUAGAUUGGUCAACUUAAUCCUGUGGUUGGAUUUUGGCAAAAUCCAGGUGAUGGAUUCAGGUCAUCAAUUUGUCCUCCAUGAUUCUCCACAAUAAAACAGUUUGACACUAUCAAAAUGUUACGCCAUGCACACAUAUAUAUGUAUAUGUAUAUAUAUUUGUCAGAUAAGUAAUAUAUUAGCUAGAUAAGUUUUGAAAUAGAACGUAUGUUCAUGCUAGUACUGAGUAAGCAGAGCUUGAAUUAAUUAGUCUUAUAUACUUUAUCCUCAACCAUGUCUUAUUUGUUCCUUGUCAAAGUCGGUGGAUUUCUUGGUUUGAGAUGGCUUAGAUUUGGUCAUUUUUUCUAACUUACAAGUUUGGUUUAUGGUUGGUGCAAGUGAAUGAGAAUAUUGUAGUGCUUAUAAGAUAUUUAGAGGCAACAUAACUAAUAUUCGGAAAAUAAAUUAAUUCAAUGGUUUUUUUUUCAAAAAAAUUUCUUUUUGAUGUGAUGUAGAUUAAACUCUGAAUAAGGGUCUUUUUCCAAGUUGUUACUGAAUCAAUCAAAAUUGAACCAAAUCACAUGGCCUUCACGUUUGAAGUCGAUCGAUUCCAUUCGUUUGCAGGACAUAAUUCUUUGGGCAUCUAGUUUCUAAUUAUCUUAAGCUUGUGAUUUGAUUGACAAGGAAUAGAAUGAUAUCAAUAUCCCUUUCAGCUAGCCUUGUUAAAUGCAAGAACCAAGUUUCAUGUAGAACCCAGCAUUUUCUGUUUUUCAUUUUUUAUUUUUUUUAAGAUGCAGGACAAAAAUAUCUGAAAAAUCAUACCCAUCACUUCCUUAAGAUAUUCAAAAUACAUUUUUUUUACGUUAUUUAAAAUACAUUUUACCACAACCAUGCAACAAAUACAAACUAUUUACUUUUCAAGAAUUAAUGGACAAAUUCUGUUGGCGGUAGAUAAGCACUAAAACAAGUACAUGCAUGCGUUUACCUACCUAAUCUAAGCAAGAAACUUCACCCUCUAGCGCUUCAUGUCAACUUUCAUUGAAGGAGGUAGAGAAGCACUUCUUUUCUUCCUCUCCAUGUUCCCAUGCCACCCUAUCCAAGCCAAACCAUGCAUCUUACUGGUAAAAAUCCUUGACAAAAUGCAACAAUAUAUAUAUAUAUAUAUAUAUAUAUCACGUAUACAUGCAAUGCAAUGUUAAUAUAAUGGCCAUGCAAAUCAUUUUAAUAAGUCACCACCUAUGGACAUAUCGAAUCCGAGGUUCUUGAGUUCUCUAUACUCUUGGCAUAGAGCACACGGCUCAUAACAACAAUGGACGCAGCAAUCACAGCAUGGUUUCUCUUCCAAAAAGUAUUGUCCCCUUAAUUUUGAUCGAUAAAAACAUGAGUAUAAACAUGGACAGCCCGUCAUGAACAAGAUCAACAUGUACAGUCCUCCGCUAACACCACAUGCUGCAAUAUAUGACACAUCCUAGUCGAUUAUUAUCGUUAAAAAAAAAAAGAAGCAAAAUGAUUGGGAAUUAAUCGAUUUUGCCAAAUAAAAUUUAUUAUUCUUGGCAGCUUACAAGUUGAUCCUCUGUCGAGGAUGUCCGCAAUCCGUCCAAACGUGAUACAUGGACACCAACACGUUAGGCAACCUGUGAAUUGAUGAAAUUUAUAUAUUGGAAUAUUGAUCGGUAAUAAGAAAAAUUACACAACAGCACGUGCUAAUUACUUAAUCUAGAUAUUAUUUUUGUUUUUUUAAGAGGAAAUGUAGAUUUGCUCCAUGCAUAAACUUCUUUUCUCUAAUCUCUUUGGUUCUUAUAUAAAUAUGUCUACAAGCUAGUAUAGAAACUAUUAAAUAGGAUCUAGAGUAAACUACAAAUGUAAAGUUCUAAGCUUGGGACUGUCUUUUCCCAAUCUAAUGAUUUCCAUGUUACAUGUAUCAGAACCCAGAACGUUUUCGUAAAUAUAUUUUUCAAAUAGCUUUUGAUAUCAUAUAAAUCAAAUUGCUACAGCAUGUUUUUUAAUAGAAAAUUCAGAAAAUAGCAAUCCAAAUGAGACCGAGUCUACGCUGGCUUGAGACUAUUUAUUUAUUGCAUCAUUCUUCAUCUAUUGUUUACUUUCUUCAACUGAAAUUAAACAAAACAAUCCCAAUUAAAAUUUUUUUAUUAUAUUAUCUAUGUUACAAAGUUACAUACUCCCAUAUCUUGCAAUUACCCCACCAAUUUUUUUUUAAAAAAAAUCAUUUAUUAUUUUUUUGAAAAUUUACUAGCGCGUUGAAAAGAUACCUACACCACCAACAAAAGUAAAAAAAGUAAAGGUUAUCUGUACAGAUCCCAACUUAACGAAAGUGACUGGAGGAAAUAGAUGUGUACUUACAAGUAUUCGGGUCACUCCAGCAAUGACAUAGACCAGUGGACCAGGGGUCCAAAGCCUCUCGAAGAUUCUUUUGAUCUUGACCCGAGGCUUUGAUUGGAAUGGUAGCAGGGGCUGGGUUUGGCCCGUUUGGGUCCGCAUCAUCAUGACCGGAAGAAAUUUGCGCCAUGGAUACAGCGGUUGGCGGCUGCUGUGGGGCUGAUGGUGGUGGUGGGAAGAAUUCACCAUUUGAACAUGCUGAGGAAAACAUAAUUAAUUUCACCGUAAAAGAAGAAGAAGGAGAAGAAAAACUGAAAAAGGGGUAAAGAAAUUUGUGGAAUUUGAGGUCUAAGUUUUCUGGUAAUAGGAGUAGCAUCCCUGGGAAUUUUGGCAGAUGACGGUUGGGAACGGUUAUGAGAUCGGGCGCGAAAUGGAUUUUUAACUUUUGUUGGACUACGAGUUGAGGUCCAUGUCCACACAAACCCCAUUAGCCCGUGAGCUUUCUCGGGAAAACUAUGGGCUCGUCUAGUGGAUCUGUGGGAGGCUUAUUUUCCACCAAUGGAUCCUUGCAAUAUCUUUUGAUGAACAACAAUUGCAAUUACCGGAAACGUAUAACUCUUUCCGUCUUUCUGGUCAGUUAUUUUCUGUGGAUGCCUUUUUUUUCUUUUUUCUUUGUAAAAUUUCUUAAUCUUCCUAGGGGAUGGUUAGUGUAAGUGGAAUGAGGAACAUGGCGAUUUGGAAGUGCAAUCAUAAAAUGCUAUUAAUAGUCUAGAUAAGUACAAAAAUUAAAGCUUCUAUAAAUACAGAUACACCUAAAAUAUCGAAACUUAUUGUCUAUGAAUAAACAAAAAUUGUUUCAAUCUCUCGAUUUCUACGGAAGGGAAAAAGAAUUUCACGCUCUUUCUCUUGGAAAGGGAGGAUUAGGGAAUCCUAUUGAUUGCAGAUUCCUCCAGACCCUGUUUGAAUAUUAUUCAUUUUAAAAUUACAAAAAAUUAUUAAAAAAAGAUUAGAAAUAAACGUCUCAAUCUAGAUCGAACUUAUAUGGUCUAAUUUGAGCCAUUAAUGGCACCCUGCGGUUUGUAGGUGAAACUGUAAAGGCCCCAAACUCUAGAUAAAUUCUAGGGAUAAUUUGAGAAACCUCCUCUGAGGUUUCUGAUAAUUUCACUGAACUCCCUUGAGAUUUAAAAUAUUACACUUACCUUCCUUGAUUUAAUAGUUUUAGUAACAAAAUCUUAAAAUAAUAUAGACUUGGUCAAUUUUUUUAAAUGAAUACCCAAAAAUGCCUUUGUGUAAUGAGUUUUAAUUUAUUUUCCUAUACAAUUAUAAGAUUAUCUAGUAUAAUUAUAAGGAAAAUGUGUCAAAUUUUUCAUGUCCAUACCUACUAUUUGAUAAACAACUAUAAUAAUAAUUUUAUCACUAUAAUUGGAUACUUUUGAUGGUACUUUAUUAUGGAUUUAGAUUUAUAAGAUAGAAAAAAAAUAUUGAAAUAAUUCAUUUAGAAUUUAUGAAUUUUUUGGGUGGUGGGAUUAUCAUAAUUUGGUAGUGAUUUUGGGUCAUUUCUUUUGAUUUAUUGUUAAUUUUAGUACUAAAAAAUAGAAAACAAUGAUCAACAAAAACAUUGGAUUAUAUAUAAAAUUAACUUGUCAAAAAAAUUACUAGUUUGACAUUUGGUUACAAUAGAAACUAAAAACAUAGCGGUAGUUCUACAAUUUUAUUGGCAAAAAAUUAAAAAAAGGAAUAAGAAGGAAAAAUAAUGAAAAAUAAUUUUAAAACUCAUUCUAAAUAUAAGCAUACCAAAUAAGAGAAUUUCAUUAAAAUAUUUAACGGUAAAAUUGUCAUUUUAAAUAACAAGGGAGAUAUGUGUAAUUUUUCAAACCUUAAAGAAGCUCAGUGAAAUUGUCAGGAAUCUCAGGGGAGGUUUCUGAAAUUAUCCCUAAAUUCUAAUCAUUGUUGACUUGGCACUGCCACACAGUUGGUCGAGAGCUUUGGAGCAAGUUAACAGCCUUUAUAAUGAAAUUGUAAAAUAACUUUUAUAUUAGAAGGUACCUUCAUCACAAUCUAAAAAUUGUAGGGGCGCAAAAAAUCUAGUUUUGUGAAGUAAGGGGCAAACAACCCCCUAAGUUUUGUGGGAAUGAUGAACUGACCAAAAUUCAUAUGAUUGGGCUAUCCCUAGAAUAAUUUCCUUAGCGUGCUUAUCCUCACCUUCCGUGACUACUUGCUUUUACGAAUGUUAAGAAAUCUUGAAAUGGAAAUACUUAAACUAAAAAAUAGCCGACAAAGAGAAACUUCAUUGCAAGACUACCAAAAAAAAAAAUAAUAAUAAUAACAGUGAUAUCCAAAUAAAUGAAUAAUAGCAGCAAAUUAUGUCCUUGUGUCUAGCUUUGACUGCCAAAUUCACUAGCCAACGCCAUAAAUGUGAAUGCUCAGAGGUGAAAUUAACUCUAUUUUUUGUUUUCUAGGACUAGUUGUAUGCGAAACGACCAGCAGCAUUACAUGUGACAGCGAAAUGAUAACUCUCUAGUCCCCAUUACACAACUUAGUUGAUUUUUUACGUAUUACUCAUAAAUUGCUGUGCAAUUGAACAUUAAGAGAGAAGCCAUGCAGAUCUGGUUAAUUAUAAUAGAAGAUAAUAGUAAGAAGUAGGCGGCAUGCAUGCACGGCUAAAAUAUGGAACUAGGCAUAUUCUCAAAAUUUUUGGCUAUAUCUGAAAAAUCUCGACAGGAAUUCUCAUCUAUUUAGAACCAUGAAGAAAUCAAAUAAUUAUCUUAGGCACCAGUUACUCCCAACUGCAUAUAAAUAGGAAGAAAGUUGUCUUCCAGCCAUAGAUCUCACAUCAUCAUCAGGCCCGGGUGGAAAUGGCUGGCUCUCCCGGUAGUCCUAUUGGUGGCUACCACAAUUAUGAGGAUGAUGACUUCUAUGUUGAACUGAAAAGCCAAAUUUUGCAAUUGACAGCAGAUGAUGAUAAAUUCAGAAGAUUAUCCAGAAGCCAAAAAUUCAACAGGGCUGCAUAGUAGCCUACCUUACUGCGAAUAAGGCCUACAAUAACUUAACUGGUAGGGGAUUGAUAGUGCUGCUUUGCUACCGAUAAAUCUAUCCUAUAAUAUGUCUGAGAAUUUGUGAAGGCACUGGAGUGUUAUAAACAAAUUGAAUUCCUUGUAUUGUAUAUGUACAUCACAUGUUCAGUUACGUAGAUUCGUAAAUAUUAGUAUUGUUGGUGCAAAUUCUUCCAAUGGUUUUGCUUUGCUUCUCUUUGCUUGAUUCCUCGUCAUUUCUGCAUUUUCUUUUCCAGUGGGGUUCUAACCUCUUUUGUUUUCCUUGCUUUGUAUUAUGAUUGAAGCACUGUAAAAAUUAAUCUUAUCUGCUUUAGUAUUUUAUUCGAAGGGUGUUCUCUGUCACUACCUCAUUCGUAACUCUUCAAACACUGUAUAAUUCUUAACUCAUUAAGUUUGCCUUCUGGCCACGUUUUUUGAAAUUCAGGUGCUUCCCUCGACUUGUCAAACAAGUUAACCGCUACCCAAAAACGUGUAAAGUGCAAAUGCCAGAUUUUGUCCAUUUCAGAGCUACAGAGAGCAAAGAAAUGGAGAUCUCAAACGUCCCAUUUCAGUACUCAGUAUUAGGAUUCAUCUUACAAAAUUUGAAGGAGUCAGUUCAAUGCAACACUGAAUUAAUUGGUGGAGUUUCAAAAAGCGUGAAGCGACUCUGCGGUGAUCUUGAUACAUUGAGAGCAUUUAUCAAGGAGUACUAUGAGAGGCGGAGCAACAGCCAAAUCUUGGAGAAGUUGGCGAACGAGAUAAGAAACGUGGUUUAUCAAGCCGAGGAUGCUAUUGAAACUUAUAUUGUUUUGGAAUCAAAGCAUAAGGGUCGACGCACAAUUGGUGUAGCUAGCGGCCGAUCAUAUUGGUGGUUAUGUUUCUGAUGCUUUGAAUGCCACCAAACAGAUUGAGGAUGUUUGUAGAAAGUUGAAGGAGAUUUAUCACAUCAAGACGCCAUUGGUUCCUGAUGCCAUGCAAGUUGGUCAGAGUUCCAAAAGGAUUCCAAAGAAGGAAGAGGUAAGGAUGGGCUAUUACUUCCCUUUUUAGAUUUUUUUUACAAGGCAUUGGUAUUCUAUUUUACUUUGAACUUUGAAGACGCACCAUUAGAAAUUCACCUACUCAAUGGGGUACAAAUUUUCCUAUGUUGUAAUCAUUUUCCAACUUCUAAUCCUUGUAAGUGCAUGUCCUCAAUUUCCUAUUCUAAAUUAACUUCGAUGAUCUUGGGGUGUCGUGCCAAUGUUGUCCAUACCUGCAGGCUGUCACUGAAGAGGAAGAUAAUGUGGUUGGCCUAGACGAUGAAGCCUAAAAUGUAAUUGAGCUUCUUACCGAAGGAUCACAGGAACUAGAGGUUAUCUCAGUCAUUGGCAUGCAUGGUUUAGGAAAGACCACACUAGCUAAAAAGGUUUUAAAUGACCCAACGAUUGAAUUCAAGUUCUAUAGUCGUGCAUUUGUGGAAGUCUCCCAAGAAUUCGAGAGAAGGGAAGUGUUCCUCCAUAUUUUAGGUGCUUUUACCAAGAUCACAGAAGAAAUUAAGGACUUGUCAGAUGACAAAUUAGUUAAAGAACUUCACCGGCAGUAAAAGACAAGGAAGUAUUUGAUUGUCUUAGAUGAUGUCUGGACUCCAGAAGCAUGGGAUCAAUUAAAACUUGCCUUUCCCAACAAUGACAAGCAAAGCAGAAUAUUAAUUACUAGUCACAAUGAACCUGUGGCCUUUCAUGCUAAUCCAAGUUGUGAUCCUCAUUACUUGCGCUGUUUGGAUUUAGAAGACAGUAGAGAGUUGCUAAGAAAGAAAGUUUUUGGAAAGAGUGACUGCCCAGGAGAGUUGGAGAAGCUUGAACUAAGUAUCCUGCUGAAAUGUGAUGGAUUGCCUCUAGCAAUAGUGAUAGUUGCAGGUGUUCUCUUGAAUUAUAGAGACAGAACUGAUUGGUGGAAAAAGUUACUGAAGAUUUAGAUCAUUUUGUUGCUAAACAUCCAGAACAAAGCCACGGAGUAAUAAGAUUAAGUUACGAACAUUUACCUCAUCACCUGAAGCCAUGUUUCCUCUAUCUUGGGGUCUUCCGUGAAGACAUUGACAUCCCAGUUUGGAAGCUAUUGAAGAUUAUAUUAUGUAUAUGUCUAUCUGGGUACCUUUGGUUACUCUCUGUACCCGUUUUCCUCGGUAAUAUCUUUAGGAGUAGUUGAGGUAUGUUAGACCUCUGUCAUUGAGGUGUGAUAGAACUCUGUUUUUCAAUUGGGAUGUAAUAGGACUCUGGUCUCGGUACCUGUAUAUAUGGAAGGCACGGAAGCAAUAGAAAGGGGACUUUUCCCUCACAGAAUUUCUUUCAUGGUAUCAGAGCGAUGGAUGACGAAGGGAAAAGCAAGAAUGUUGGGAAGAAAUCUGUUUCACCAUACAUCUUGACUUCGAAUGACAAUCCUGGAACCAUUAUUACCCAGGUACAAUUGAAAGGUGACAAUUAUGAUGAAUGGGCUCGAGCUAUGCGCACAGCGUUGAGAGCCAAGAAGAAGAUGGGAUUUGUUGAUGGAACGGUGACGCAUCCGGAUGACGAUUCCGUCGAUCUAGAGGAUUGGUGGACCGUGAAUUCGAUGGUAGUGUCAUGGAUUCUCAACACGAUAGAGCCAGCUUUGCGUUCCACCAUAACUCAUGUGGAAAUUGCAAAGGACCUUUGGGAAGACAUCCAAGAAAGGUUCUCUGUCGCUAACGGGCCUCGGGUACAACAAAUCAAAGGAGAGAUUGCAGAAUGGAAACAACGGGGACUUCCAAUUGUGACCUACUAUGGGAAAUUGAAGCAAUUGUGGGAGGAACUAGCAAACUAUGAACAAAUUCCGACAUGCCAAUGUGGAAGAUGCGUAUGCAAUCUUUCAGUCCAACUUGACAAGAAACGUGAGGAAGAGAAACUUCAUCAGUUCUUGUUGGGUUUGGAUGACAUGGCAAAUGGAACAAUUCGUUCAAACAUUCUUGGUACAGAACCACUACCCAGUGUGGGUAAGGCAUACUCCUUGAUAUGCCAAGAGGAGCGCGUCCGAAGCAUGUCUAGAGGAAAGGAGGGACGUGGAGAUCCCGUGAGUUUUGCCGUUCAGGCCAACGCAGGAGGUAGGAAACUUGGGACUGAAAUAAAGGACAGGUCUGCGCUGUGUUCAUAUUGCAAUCGCAGCGGGCAUGAUGCUGGAAACUGUUUUCAGCUUAUUGGAUAUCCUGAAUGGUGGGGUGAUCGGCCCAAAGGAAAUGGACGCGGUUCAGGACGUGGACGCGGAAACCAGAAUUCAGGACGUGGACGUGGGGGUGCACAUCGGGCUAACUCUGUUCAGACGAUUGGUCAGUCCUCCUCGUCAACAGUAACCGCAGAAAGGGAGCAUACAGCACAAGGAUUGUUGAAUGGUGAACAGUGGGCAGCUUUCCUGAGUCUGCUGAAUUCUUGCAAGCCUGGUGCCAAUGAAAAGCUAUCGGGUAAGCAUUAUUUGAACUGGAUAAUUGACUCGGGUGCGUCUCACCAUAUGACUGGAAGUUUAGAAUGUCUAUCUGAAUUGAAGAAUUUGACGGGGUGUGCAGUAGGAUUGUCUGAUGGCAACCAAACCAUAGCAGUGAAAGAAGGGUCAGCUCGUUUGGGGAAACAUAUGAAGUCGAAGAAAGUGCUAUAUGUCCCCAAUUUGAACUGCAAUUUAAUUUCAGUAUCACAAUUGCUUGACGAAUUAAAUUGCAAUGUUUUAUUUACUAAAAAAUUAUGUGUUAUACAGGACCGCACUUCGAGGAUGGUGAUUGGAGCGGGUGAACGACGCGAAGGGCUUUACUACCUCAAGUCCAUGGGAGAAAUCAAAGCGUGCAAUACCAAAUGUCUGGAUAUCAGUGGGCUAUGGCAUAGAAGAAUGGGACACCCAUCUGCAAAAAUAGUAGGAUUACUUCCUGAUGUGAGUUCUAGCAGUAACAAUUAUGAUAAGGGAAAACUUUGUGACAUUUGUUUAAGAGCCAAGCAGACUAGAGAAGUAUUUUUUCCUAGUGAUAAUAAAGCAAAUGCAAUUUUUGAGAUGAUACAUUGUGACAUAUGGGGACCCUAUCGAACUACUGCUUCGUGUGGUGCCUCAUAUUUUUUAACUAUUGUGGAUGAUUUUUCAAGAGCUGUGUGGAUAUAUAUGUUGGUUGUUAAGUCCGAAGUAGAACGUGUGCUUCGUAAUUUCUUUGCCAUGGUCAAACGACAAUAUAACAAGAAUGUGAAAAUUGUUAGAAGUGACAAUGGCAUGGAAUUCACUUGCUUGGAUGGUUACUUUGCUGAAAAUGGAAUGAUACACCAUACAUCAUGCGUAAGUACACCCCAGCAGAAUGGGCGGGUUGAAAGAAAACAUCGCCAUAUUUUGAACGUGGCUAGGGCAUUACGUUUUCAGGCGAAUCUCCCUAUUGAAUUUUGGGGAGAAUGUGUGCUGACUGCUGGAUACUUGAUUAAUCGGACUCCAUCCAAACUUUUGGGGAAUAAGACGCCGUAUGAAUGUUUGUUUGGAGAGCCACCCAGUUACAAACAUAUUCGUGUAUUCGGAUGUUUGUGUUAUGCUAGGGAUAUGAAUAGAGAAAGAGAUAAGUUUGCCACUAGGAGUCGGCGUUGUUUAUUUGUGGGGUAUCCCUUUGGUAAGAAGGGAUGGCGGUUGUAUGACCUUGAAAAUGGUGACUAUUUUGUAUCACGAGAUGUGGUGUUUUCAGAAGAUGAGUUUCCGUAUGCGAAAGUAAGUGCACCUAAUACGACUAAAGAUGUCCUGGGGACAAGUUCACUUGAGCCAUUUGACCUUGUGGAAGACGAAGUGGAUGAUGCAAGGGAAGAUGAUCUACUUACAGAGGUUGCGAGUAUAAUACCGGAGAUCACGGAUCGGGUUCACAAUGAUGAGAAUAACGAAGACAGGGGGGGCACCACAGGCGCAGAAGCUGGAUUGGUUGCUGAGCAACUUGGGCGUGGUCAACGAAUGAAGCACCCAUCUAGUCGCUUAAAUGAUUAUGUGACGUACACAGCUCAAUGCAUAAGCCCUUCAGCGUGUUCACCCAAACCAAUCUCAUCCUCAGGUACUCCUUAUCCUAUAGCGCAUUAUGUAACAUGUGAUAAUUUUUCUGUGCAUCAUCGGUCUUUCUUGGCAGCUGUGACAACCGGUAGGGAGCCAAAAUUUUAUAGUGAGGCAGUGAAGGACUCUCGGUGGCGCCAAGCCAUGAAGAAUGAAAUCGAUGCACUUGAGACUAAUGGAACAUGGACGGUGGAAGAUCUACCACCGGGAAAGAAAGCCAUAGGCAGCAAAUGGGUAUACAAAAUCAAGUAUAACUCAGAUGGAACUGUCGAGCGGUAUAAGGCACGUCUGGUGAUUCUUGGCAAUAAUCAGGUUGAGGGAAUUGACUAUCAUGAAACAUUCUCUCCUGUUGUGAAAAUGGUGACUGUACGCACGUUCUUGGCGGUGGCGGCAGCAAAGGAAUGGGAACUUCACCAGAUGGAUGUUCACAAUGCAUUCUUGCAUGGUGAUUUGGAAGAGGAAGUGUACAUGAAGAUGCCUCCGGGUUUUACAACUCCACAAUUUGGAAAGGUGUGUAGACUACGAAAGUCUCUUUAUGGAUUGCGACAGGCUCCACGUUGUUGGUUUGCUAAACUCACAAAUGCCUUACGGCAGUACGGUUUUUCUCAAUCUCAUUCUGAUUAUUCAUUGUUUACUCUGAGUCAGAAUACCAUUCAAAUGAGUAUACUUGUAUAUGUUGAUGACCUUGUAAUUGGGGGCAAUAAUAGUGCUGCAAUUCAACAAUUCAAGGAAUAUUUGUGUCAAUGCUUCCAUAUGAAAGACUUAGGAAUAUUAAAAUAUUUCUUAGGAUUGGAAGUUGCUAGAAAUAAGGCUGGAAUUUUUCUCUGUCAACGAAAGUAUGCACUGGAUAUUAUUGCUGAUGCCGGGUUAUUGGGUGCUCGGCCAACAGGAAUUCCGAUGGAGCAACAUCAUCGGUUGGCAAUGGCAGACAGCAUGCCUUUGGUAGAGCCAGAAAAGUAUAGGCGGUUAGUAGGCCGGUUAAUUUAUUUGACACUAACACGCCCUGAGCUGUCUUAUGGUGUCCAUGUUCUAGCUCAGUUUAUGCAGAAACCCAAAGAGGAGCAUUGGGAGGCAGCCUUGCGGAUGGUUCGCUAUUUGAAGGGCAGCCCUGGUCAAGGCAUACUCCUUCGAUCGGACUGCAAUUUGCAACUGCAAGCAUAUUGUGAUUCGGACUGGGCAAGCUGUCCUCUGACACGUCGCUCUCUCACUGGAUACCUUGUUUUUUUGGGCAACUCUCCUAUAUCUUGGAAAACUAAGAAGCAACAUACAGUGUCCAGGUCAUCUGCUGAAGCAGAGUAUCGCUCUAUGGCUGUGACCAUCUGUGAGCUGCGAUGGUUGAAGGGUCUGCUAGCUUCCCUUGGGGUGUUACAUUCUGGUCUUAUGCAUCUUUACUGUGAUAGUCAAGCAGCCAUGCAUAUAGCGGCUAAUCCUGUGUUUCAUGAGCGAACAAAACAUAUCGAGGUGGAUUGUCAUUUUGUGCGUGAUGAAGUUCAGAGUGGAAAUGUUACUACCACUUAUGUGCGUAGUUCUGAGCAGUUAGCCGAUAUCUUUACCAAGGCGCUUGGGAGACAACAAUUCGAGUAUCUUCUUCGCAAGUUGGGCGUUUGUGAUCUGCACGCACCAACUUGAGGGGGGGUAUUGAAGAUUAUAUUAUGUAUAUGUCUAUCUGGGUACCUUUGGUUACUCUCUGUACCCGUUUUCCUCGGUAAUAUCUUUAGGAGUAGUUGAGGUAUGUUAGACCUCUGUCAUUGAGGUGUGAUAGAACUCUGUUUUUCAAUUGGGAUGUAAUAGGACUCUGGUCUCGGUACCUGUAUAUAUGGAAGGCACGGAAGCAAUAGAAAGGGGACUUUUCCCUCACAGAAUUUCUUUCAGAAGCUGUUGCAAUUGUGGAUUGCAGAAGGAUUCGUACAGAAAGAUCAUGAUAUAAGCUUGGAAGAAAAAGCAGAGGCUUACUUAGACGACCUGGUGAGCAGGAAUUUGGUAAUGGUGGGUCAGAGGGGAUCCAGUGGUCGAAUCAAAACUUGUCGUAUACAUGACAGUUUGCGGGACUUCUGCAGAAGGUAGGCGAUGAAAGAAAAUCUGUUUCAGGAAGUUGAAAGGUAUGAUCAAUCCACCUUUUCAACAGAACACACUUCCUUGGAUAAUGCCUACCGCCUUUGCAUGAAUUUCCAUCUUUUGGAUGGUAUUGAAAACCUAUCUGGUAUACAUAUUCGCUCUUUUUUGAGUUUUGCCAAGAAAGAGACUAAGCUACUUCCAGAACAUAUCUCGUGCAUCCCUAGAGCCUUCAAAUUACUCAGAGUGUUAGAUGUUAGAUCAAUCAUAUUUACUAGUUUUCCUGGUGAGCUAGUCUACUUGGUUCUCUUGAGAUAUAUUGCUCUCUCUUCUAGAUGCAAGAUCCUUCCAGAGAAAAUGUCUAACCUUCAAAUCUUGCGAACUGUUAUAUUUGAAACAUCAUGGCCUACCCUUGAGAUCAAGGCAGACAUAUGGAAGAUGCCACAACUAAGGCAUCUAAUCACCAACACUUCUGCAUGUUUACCUUUGCCACUUGCAAAAAUCCACAAGGGUGAACCCUCCAUAAGUGCAAAUCUACAAACCCUUUCAUCAAUCUCACCAGAGAGUUGCAAAAAGGAUGUAUUUGAGAGGGUUCCUAAACUCAAGAAAUUGGGUAUAUGUGGGAUUGGCAUCAUUUAUGCAGGGCAGCAAUGAAUCCAGUUUAUUCGACAGUUUCUCCAAGUUAGAGUUCUUGGAAAAUUUGAAACUAAUCAAUGAUGAUUUCAACUCUAAACUACAUUUCCUUCCUCAUGAAUGCAAGUUUCCAAGGAGUCUAACAAGGUUGACUUUGUUAAAUACCAUGCUUGAUUGGAAACACAUGUCAAUACUGGGAAAGUUGGAGAAUCUUGAGGUACUCAAGUUGAAGGACAACGCAUUUGAGGGAAAGAGCUAGGUGGCAAACAGGAAGGUGGUUUUCUUCGCCUUCAAGUUUUGAAUAUUGGCAGCACUAACUUAGUAACUUGGAAAGCUUCAGCGAGCGAUUUUCCAAGACUGAGAUGCCUAGUUCUUUUGCACUGCAAUAAGCUCGAGGCCAUGCCACCUGGGAUUGCGCAAAUAGCCAGCCUCCAAGCAGUUGAAGUAUAUUGCACCAGUGAUUCGGCAGUUUACUCCGCUAAGAAGAUUCAGGCGUUGAAACUAGAAUCGCAAUCACAGCAACCAAACACUGGUACCAAAAGUCGCGGAUUUAAGCUCUCUGUUUACCCUCCGGAAGAGUGAUCUUUCAUGAUAGAUAAGUGAAAUAGUUUUUCUUCCACCAUUUUUAGUUAUCUCCCUUGUUCCUUGAUCAUCUUGCAACUUAAAGUUUGGUUCUUCGCAAUUGAACCAGACCUUUCUUACAGUUAUCCUAGUCGACAGCGCUCAUUCAUUUGAUUUGAUUCCGAUUGCAAGUACAAGAGUGACUCUGCAUGUCCACAUAAUUUUGUACUUUUUGAAUAUGCAUUCAUCUGUUGCAAAAGAUUUCCCGUCAACUAAAAGCUGCCCUAUAAUAAAUACAGUAAAUAAUAGGAUUAUUAACUAGUGGACUUCGUGUAGCAAGGUUAUGCAUCUUAGACACUCAGGAAGUCUUGUAUCCAUGCAGGCAUCAUUAACAUUUCCAGUAUUUGCAAGGCUGCCUGGAAUAUUUUUCAGUCGUCAGUAUUUUCUAGUACACUAGUUGGUUUGCUCAAUUUUAAACAUGAUUUUGUUGCAACAAGGAUCGGUCCAUUGGAUUUUUAUUGGGUUAAGACGCUUGCUAGACUUGACAAGGUCGCAACUCUAUUCACCAUUCACAGGAUAGAUCCUGUCCUUCUACAACAAUUGCAGUGGACUUUGGGAUUACGAAAGAUGUACGUGCAAAGCUCUAUCCUGAGAAUAUGUUCCAUCGAGGGAUGGGUUGCGAAAGGUUUAUGUGUAAAGCCUACUCAGUGUAUUGUGUGACGGUUUGUUGGUGUAAAACACUUAAACUCUUGUCCUGUUACUUGAGUGUGAUUUGGAUAUUGGCCAUUGCUUACCGUAAUAUACUAUCAAAACAAAUGUAGAUAUUAACACAAUCAUGAAAAAACACAAUAAAUUUUUUCAAUUAAUAAAAUUUGUGUUGAAAAUUUGUGUUAAUAUCUAUACAAUACAUAAAACGAGAGCGUCAGUGUAUUGUGAAUGCAUCAGUAUAUCGUGUAAAUACACAAUGUCAUUUUUUUAAAAUUUUUAAUCUACCCUUAAUAAUAAGGGUAAAUUUGUCCCAAUCUAUUAGGGGGGGAACCUCCCCACAAGUAGAGAGCUAUUUGGAUCAACCGUAAUUAUUUGUUGAGAUUAUCCACUUUUUCACACUAACUUUCAACUCCCUCCCACCUAAUCUGUAAUGUGCUGCUCAGCUUUCAUCAUCUUUCUAAACAAUUAUCUAUAUUAGUACAAAAGAAUUUGACCAAUAAGCAAAUAUUAUAAAGAGAUAAUUUUAAUAAAUAUAUUUUUUAUUAACUGCACACACAGAGCACUAGUCUAUAUUUGUUCUUAUAGAAUAAGAAUUCAUAUUAUUUGACUCCGAAGUCCUCGUUAACGAGGUAGGACCAACGAGGGAUUAAUAAGGUCAUAUUUGACUCCGAAUUCCUCAUAUUUUGCGUUCUUUUUCAUAAGUUUGGAAAAAAAAGAAGAAGAAGAAUUGCAAGUGCUGCAUUGGGUCGUGGUUUUCAACAAUAUUAUGCACUGUGUUAUGUUACGAGAAGUAUUCUUUAAUUUCAAACAAAAUGCUUUACAAUGUGCAAUUGUGUAAAAGAAGCCCUCUGAUUAUUUUUCUUUUACUUUUAUUAUAAGAUAUCACUUUUGUAAUCUAGAAAUAUGGUUACAGUUACUCUGAAGCAGACUAGUAGUAUUUCGAGAAAACUCCAAACAUUGGCACUAAGGUGAAUGCAGCGAAAGAUGAGAGGCUAAUAUGCACAAUUUCAAUCCCGGAUAUAAAAGAUGAAUUCACGUCCCUCCAUUUUAAAUUCACACUUAAUACAAAAUUUAUCUAUAUCUAUAUAAAUUUCAGAAACGAUUUUCAGCAAUAAGCCUCUACACAACUUCCCACUCUCAAUUUCAUUUUUCUAGUUAAUACUAAUGGUACGAGUCAUUGCUGCCUUAAGGGUGUAAAUUUAGACAGUAGGGACGUGAAUCUAGGGCUUUGUCUCAAUAUUUUAUUAUAGGACUAGUACACCAAUCCCUUUUAUUUUUUUUCAAAAAAAAAAUUGGUUUCUUUUACCAAGUUGUUACCAUCUCAAACUAGGUGAAAUCCAAAUUCUAAGUAAACCGUCUAGCAGAGAAGAUGCACUGGUUCUUUUGUCCAGGCUCCAAGAAGCAAUCCUGUGGAACUGCAGCCUGUCUUCUUUGUUGCACAAAUUGGAACCUCACAUGAUAAUUUUAUUCUUUAAUUUCUAUUAAAAAAAAAAAAAUGCUCCAUUUCCUUGAAGAUUUCAUGUAGACAGAGAAAUUCUUGGCAUGGAAAACUGUGGAUAGAUAAUGAAGGGUGAAUUAAAUCUGUUUCACAUUCAUGAUUCAACUUUAUUCGCUUCACAUUGCUGACCUGACAAUGUCUAAUAGAGUAAAAUAAUGCAACAAAAAAAAAAAAAAAAUGCCCAUCUUUCCUGAGUUACCAGGUAUGUGGGACAAAAGAAGGCCAGUUUAAAGGGGCCAAUUGCUUUAAAAAUGUUCCCUGGCUUUUUGCUGCAUAAAGAAAAGUAUUAUAGAAUGCCAAAAUGGAGGAGCAGCCUUGGUUUUAAAUUUCUUUCUAAGGUAUAUAUGCCAUAACAAAUUUGUCCUAAUUCCAAGUUGGAUGACUUAUUUGAAAUAAAUCUAAAUUUACGUAUGAAAGUAAGUUCUCAAUGCUUCUACUGCAAUACAAUCUGAUAAUAUAUGAAACUUGUGAUCUCAACACAAUCUAUAACAAGUGUGGUCUUCUUUUUUUUUUUUUUUUGAUAUGUAACAUAUAUGUCUUGUUAUCGAACAUUAUUUGCACAAUUGUAAAAAAUAUAUCAAUGUGUUUUUUUUUUUUUUUGUGCUAAGGAGAGCCAUUGGCUCAUUACAUGUUGAUAAAACGAGGGAAAGCCACUCCACACACGCCCUGGCCCAGGAGUUCUUUAACUGUCUGCAAUGGAUCCCCAAACAUUGUCAAGCCAUAGUCUAGACUUCUUUCCAAUUUAGCUAAGUGAUCCGCACACCUAUUCCCUUCCCUCCAGAUAUGUUCCAAUCUACAAUCUCAAUCUGUAAAGAAUAUAUCAAUAUGUUAGAAGUAGAAUAAUUGAUAGAACCAUCCCCCAAGUCCUUUUUUUUUUCGAAGACGGUAACUGUAAUAUAUUCUAAUCUAUCUUAUACUAAGGGGAGGGAGUGGACUUAAGGAGAUCCAAGAAUAACUCGGAGGGGACUGAACCACCACCGAAUCAAACGGGUGUACUACGCACUCGUCUGAAUUUUUUGAAGCAAAUUCACAUUUUAAUGUGAUAAUUAGUGGGAGGUAAAAUUUAAACCCUUGUCCCAAAACUUUUCUCCCACCCCGCCAAGCCUUAAAGGCUUAAUGGUGGCCACCAGCUGGUGGUUCCCAAGUCCUUUUCUACAUUUAUUAUGCAUCUGAGUUGGCAAUGGAAUAAUUGUGGUAAAGCCAUCCGCCAUCAAAGAAUCCGAAUUGCAAAAUUAUUGCCUUUUCCUGUCACAAAGAAAAAAUCUUUCUUGGAGGGGUCCUUACUUCUCACUGUCCCUUGUCUCUCCUGCUCAAGCCACAAACAUACAUCAUCUGAAGGUAAGUAACUAAUUCCAACCUCUAAUCUCAGUUUAAUUCAAUAAUGCCCAGAAGCUAAAUAUUGAUAACUAAAAGUUAAGUGCAGACUUUGGACUCUAGUUGAGAUGUAGUACUUCUGAGCUUUCUCAGUUUGUUAGUCCUAAUGCAGUGAUGCAUUUUCUUUGACCAUAUUUUCUUGCAGAAGACAAAGCAUAACAAGCUUCAAGAAAAAAAGAUGGCAUUUCUAAGAGUAGUGGGUAACUAUUUAACAUCUCUGAUCAUUCUGCCAUAUGUAUCAUUUAGCCCAAUUACUAAAGGUUUACAUACUGCUUUGUUUGAUGGCAGUUUUGUUAUGGGCUGAUAUGUUGGCAGCAUAUGUAAUGUGGAUAAUGCCAACAUACUUGACAAAUGUUUGGAAACUGGGAUUUACUCGUGCUGCUGGAAUCAUGAACGUAGCCAAUGGCCUCGCUAAAGUUUUACCCCUCGUCUUUUUCUUGAUUGUGGACUGUGGCCUUGGUAACUACUGGAUGCUGCUUCUCUCAAGCGUAUCCUAUGCAAUUGUAAGUUCUGCUGUCAAACACUUCUUUAGUUUGAUUUCACAGUGUGCAAAUUUAUAUUGUUAGGAGAUGGGACAAAACAGUUGUUUGAUUGUCUGAGACUCGAAUAACCAUGAUACUAGCCCCAUUUCCAGGUUCCAGCAUCAACUGUCAUCAUUUGAUGAAGCUAUUGAACAUCUGAUUUUACUAAACUAUUGGAGUUGCAAGAAAUGAGUAGCAGUUGUAAGCACAAACACGUUAAGUACCAAGUGGAAAAGGUCUAGAAUAUGCCAGGAUGAGGUUUCUCGUUAGUUGAAAGUUAAAACUCUUUGAUACAGAAAGAUGACAUUGAUAAUUCAGUAAAAUUGUUGCAAAAGAUUUUGUAUACUCCAUCUCGCUUGGGAAAUAUUUUGCUUCUCUCAGUUAACUAGAGAUAGUAAAGAUUCUGUAAAGAUGUGACUAUACAGGUCUAUGACCGUUUCUAAAUAGGUGAGGCUUAAAAGGAUCCAACUGCCUCUUUGACAAUUAACUUUUUGCUACUGAAUUCGUUGAUCGAAGUUCUAAAGUAAAGAAGACAAACUGAGCUAGUUGAUGACAAUUGACAAAUUAAUGAACUAGGUGGAAGGUAGCAAACACUAGAACAGGAUAUUAUGUCAAAGCAACAGGCGAUAAUUUGCAGACUUCUUGAUCUUACCACUAGAACCAAGUACUUGUUCAAAUGCUGUCCCAGAGCUCAACUAAAUUGGAUAGUUUCAUGUUAAAGGCUAAUGCACCUAGAGAACAUAUCAGCUGUAAAUAAAUUUCUAGUUGCAACCUAAGCAAAACACAGAGAUUUUUUGCUAUCUGGAUUUGAACUUUCUUUCAUCUAUAAUCAUGUGUAGGGUUUGGGAUUUUUGUCUAUGUCAACACCACCAGUUCUAGCCAAGGAAACUGGGAGCUGUAAACACUACAAGCCUGAAUGCAUUGGUCACACGCAAAAGGCCCUUUUCUAUACAGCUUUAGCAUUGAUUGCUGUUGGAAUAAGCGGACACAUUGUAUCACUAGUUGCACUCUUUGUUGAUCAGUUUGAAAAGAAGAAAGCUGAUGUUAAAUUUGAGAAACCAAGACAUCAGUCCAAGCCAUUUGUAUUGCAUCAGAUUAGAAGGAAACGAGGUGGAGCUACAAGUGAUGGACCAAAUUACCCAUUCCCACCACCAAAAGUCCCAAACAAUCCGAAUGCAAAGAAGCAGGGUGAUGAUGCUGAAGAUGAUAUGUUGUCACAGCUUCAAUUUCAACCAGUAGAAGCAAUGCUGGCUCUUGUGAACAGAGAAAAAGUAAAAGUAUUCCGAGCUUGUCUUGUGAUCCUCUUCCCUGUUAUUGGACUAAUUGCUCUUCCAUACAUAAGACCAUGGUCACUUCGGUUUGGAAUUCCAGCAAUUUGUACCUUGGUAGCAACAAUGGCAUUCUUGUUGGGCUCAUACAAUGACAACAAACCGAAAGGAAGUCCAGUAACAAAUGUACUCAGAGUUCUUGUGGCCUCUACUCUGAAAAUGUUUCACAAACUUCCAACUGACAGUUCCAAACUUUAUGAAAAAAACGAGCAUGAUGAUAAAAAAUUGAGUCAUACUGAAGGACUCAGGUUUGGCAUAUAUCCCCUCUUAAUAUGAUCUUCUUCAUACAAACUUUUUUCUGUUUGAGAAAUUUAUCCUUAUACAACUUCAAAAUUCAUACUUGCGAAAAAGUUUUUGACUAGAAACUCCAUCUCCAGUUGCAGGAAAUACUUCUACGACUUCUUUAAGUAAAUUAAUUGUCUACAAUUGAUCUUUUAUUGCAUAUGGAUAGAACAAACUAAUCUCAAGUUCUCCAGGUAAAGAGACCAUCAGAGCAUAGAGAUGAUGAAGCACUGAUUUGUAAAAUUUAUUGAUUGUUAUUCUCUUAGGUUCUUGGACAAGGCUGCCAUCAAAGAAGAACCAGUGACAAACAAGUGGAGAGUCUGCACAGUUACAGAAGUAGAAGAAACAAAAAUCAUUGUUAACAUGCUUCCAAUUUGGAUCACCUUCAUAAUUUGUGGUGUCGUAACUUCUAUAGGAAGCACCUACUUCGUGGAGCAAGGAAACCACAUGAAUUUCAAGGUUGGAAAAUUGAAGUUUCCUAAUUCCAUCCUUCUGGUCCUAUAUGAACUAACCAAGUCACGAUCCAAAACAAUGUACACCUUCAUUGCAAGCCACUUAGGAGCAGCAGGACUAAAGAGGUAUGCACCCCCAGUUGGCAUUGCAUUUGCUACACUAUUUUCAGUACUAUGCUGCAUAGUUGCUGCCUUAGUUGAAACUCGAAGGUUACAUGUGCUCAGAGAUCAUGGAUUACUUGACAAACCAGAUGAGAAAAUUCCCAUGACUGUGUUUUGGCUACUUCCACAAUACAUUCUUCUUGCUGUCCUUGACUCAUUUUAUGAAAACAGUGCUGCUCCUUUCUUGAGUGAUCAGAGUCCUCCGUCAAUGAAAAAGUACCUCGUCUACUUCAACCCUGGAUUAUCUGGGCUGGGAAUCACGGGAAGUGUUUUAUCAGUAUUCUUAGUUGGUAGAAUUAGUGAACGAAGAGGAAAAGAGAAUUGGUUUCAAUAUACCUUAAACAAGAGUCGCUUGGAUCGCUAUUACUGGGUCCUUGCUGUCCUAAGUGCUGCAAAUUUCUUCUGGUUUCUUGUGGCAGCAUUAAGGUACCCUUACAGGGAACCUACUUCAAAUGAUAAGCAAGAGAAUGGAAACGAAGAAGGUAAUGCCAUGGAAGCUGUAGAAGGUGUUAUUCCUAAUAUAGAGUAAAUUGAACACACUCGCGGGCAAGAAAGAGUUACAUAUAGAGAGGAUUAAGUUUCCACCGGUGCUUGAGAAUUCUUCUAUGUUGUCAUUAAACUAGUUAAUUAUAAUACAUUUGUGUAAAAAAUAUGCAAUCUUGGAAUUUAAAUGAGUUAACUUGUUUCCUUAUAGGAGAGUCAUCUGAUCAUUUCCCCGUAGAGUGUUGUCCUGUUAAUCUUGUAAAAUGGGAAUCACCAAGACAAUGAAGUUUUUUUUUUACAUGAGCUUCAUUUCUAGCCUCCACGAAGACCUUCUACAUGAUAGAGUAAUUAAUCUAGCUUUUAAAAGAAUCACAGUCUACUAGUUUACGUACAAUAAAUACCUGAUCUUUCACAAUCACGUACCACUUGACAGAUGCAGAAGCAUUCACAUAUGAUCAAACAUGCUUACUAGUCAUUAUUCAACAAAAUCUAUAGAUGUUAAAAUGACUGAAAUGUGAAUGCGGGGUCAGAUAAUUCUUUGUUUGUACUUGUAAAUAUUGGAAACACGGUUACAUACUUAUAAUUAGAGGAAGAAAGCAUGGAAAAUUCCACAUGCAUAGGCACAGGGAUAAUGUAGAUGUGGAGUCAGCAGUUUUUUCUUCGCAUGUAUCAUUAAUUGGCUGGAACUGGAAGGGAUUCGCUCAAUAAUCUCAAGAUAAUACGCCAUAGAUGCCAUCCGUCACGUAUUGCAACAUUACAAUUUUUUAAGAAUAGUGAAUGGUCUUCCUUCCACAUAAACAAUUUAUUGUCUAUCAUCUACUGCGGUUGGAUCCCUCGUAAUGCUGACCAGACAAAGCACUAGUCCACAACAAAAUAAAGAAAUGAAAAAAUAAUUGCUACCCCCAAAAAAAAAAAAUGAAAAAGAGAAAUGCAAAAUAAUAGGACGUCAUUAGAAUUAUGUGCUUGUUUCUUCUUUGUCUUGAUCAAAACGUCAUCAAAAUCCAAGAAUAAGGAAAGAAAAGAAAAAAAGCAGAUUACUUGGCCAAAAAGAUGGAAGAGUGGAAACCUGAUUCCUUGCUUGAAAGACCGGGGGAGAUCACUUCACACGGGCAAUAUUCUGGUUGGGCUGAAGAAAGUAUUGUACAAUGACUAGGCUACUGGCAGGAGGGAAACUGUAAUGGAAGUUACCGAAUAAAAAUGUUGUUUAUAGAGAAUGAAGAUUAAAUUGUAUUUUGGGUCAAUCCGAUUGAAUUAUGAAUAUUAAGCUUGCAUGACUAUUUGAGAUUGGUACUUCAAGUCUUCAACAGAAAUUUCCGAAUAGCUAAAUGGGAUUCUAUCUCAGAUGGCAACAUCUACGGUUCUACACGGAUGGUAACGCGGUUGCUGCUGGUACGAUGGCUUUCUUUAUUAUUUUUUUUUUUUUAAAAAAAAAAGGCUUCUUUAUCUUUAGGGAUAAUUUUAGAAUCCUUCCCUCAUGUUUCUAACAAUUUCACUAAGCUCCCUUGAGGUUCCAAAAAUUACACAUACCUCUCUUGUUAUUUAUAAUGACAAUUUUACCCUUAAAUAUUUUGGUGAAAUUCCCUUAUUUGAUAUGCUUAUACUUAGAAUGAGUUUUGAAAUUAUUUUUUCAUUUUUUUUCCUUCUUAUUCUUUUUUUUUUUUUGUUUUUCUCCAAUAAAACUAUAAAACUAUCACUAUUGCUUCUAGUUUCUAUUGUAACCAAAUGUCGAACUAGUAAUUUUUUUGAUGAGUUAAUUUUAUAUGCAAUCCAAUAUUUUUCCUUAUCUUUAUUUUCUAUUUUUUGGUACUAAAAUUAACAAUAAAUCAAAAAGAUAUGACCCAAAAUCACUACUAAAUUAUGAUAAUCCCACUAUUCGAAAAAUUCAUAAAUUCUAUAUGAAUUAUUUCAACAUUUUCUUUUCUAUCUUAUAAACCUAAAUCUAUAAUAAAGUAUUAUCAAAAGUAUCAUAUCAUAGUGAUAAAAUUUUUAUUAUAAUUAUUUAUCGAAUAAUAGGUAUGGACAUGAAAAAUUUGACAAUUUUUUCUUAUAAUUAUACUAGAUAAUCUUAUAAAUGUAUAGGAAAAUAAAUUAAAACUCAUUAUAUAAGGACAUUUUUGGGUAUUCAUUUAAAAAAUUGACCAAGUCAAUAUUAUUUAAGGUUUUGUUACUAAAACUAUUAAAUUAAGGGAUGUAAGUGUAAUUUUCCAAACCUCAAGGGAAUCCAGUGAGAUUGUCAGAAAAUUUAGGGGAGGUUUCUCAAAUUAUCCCUUAUCUUUAACGUGGGGAAGACUCGGAAGAGGCGAAAGAAGUAUCAACCGGUAAAGUACAAUAUGCUUUUUUCCUGUUACAAAAAAAAAAUACAUUUGCAAGUAUGCAACGUUAUUUAUUUAGCCGUCCAUAGUGAAUACAACCAUACUGAAUCGUGGAGAGUAAAAAACUGUUUUCUAAGCAUCUUCGUCCCGGCUGUUAACUCUUUUAUCUUCUUGCUUUAUCCUGCUACAUUUGCAUUUGCUGUCUGCCACUUGCUUUAAGUUCAUAAUUUCUCCAUCUCUGUCCCCAGAACAGGAAAAGCAGUGGUGGUAGUAGUAGUAGCUGUAGCAUAAUUUGUACCUACCAUUUUCGUUGCUGUGUAGCUGAGUCAAGUCAACUCCACCUGCUAUCUGCCAAGUCUUCUCUGGAAUCUUGAUAUCAGUUCAGUUCAAUUCAAUCCUGAUCCUCGACUCAGUUAGUCCUAGUAGCUUCCUAGGAGAGAAACAGAUCUGAGUUAGAGAUGUCUGUUCCAGAUGCUGCAGUGACUUUUCUGCUAGACAACCUUCACCAGGUACUGAGUUACAACUAUCAUUUGAUCGCCGAUGUACGAGAUAACAUUCUGAUUCUUUGCCAAGAACUCGAGACUCUGAAAGCUCUGAUGAGAGAUUACUCGAGAUACAAUCACGACAGCGAUUUUCUCAAGGAAUUGGUGAAGGAAAUAAAAACCGUAGUCAACCAAGCUGAAGAUGCUGUGGACACUUAUAUCGUUCAAGCCUCGGUUCAAAGAGCAAGAUCCUGGAUAUCUAAAACUUUUCACAUAAUUGAUUAUCCCACCAAGCUUCGGGAAGUGGGGAAACAGAUUGAAGAAGUUGGCAAGAAAGUGAGGGAGAUUAAUCAAGAAAAGGCCAGGAAUGGCUUUGAGGCCCUGCAGUAUCAAGCCAUGGCCAAUCUUAACAGGAUUCCAAAGCCUAAAGAGGUAAAAAUAGACAAGCCAAACUCCUGCUUUCCAUCUUUUGUUUAGAAAAUACUUUUCUAUCUGUCUGCUUAUUUGUUUGUACAUUUUGUGGAUGGUGCUGAAACAUUACUAAAGUUCGACAUUUUUAAUCAACUCAGGAAAUCUUGUCAAUUUAAUCCCUAAUUGUUUGUUGCAUAUGAAUUAUAUCCAUUUAGUCUUUAAUUAAUAUCAACAUUCGGGUAUGCAAGUUAUGUACCAAAUGACGCUAGUAAGGAAUAUUGAGCCAUCUCAAUUAGGACAUAUGUACCAGUAAUUAAUUCCCUUGUUGCUAUGAAUCAAAUAUGGCUUUAGGAGUCGAUUCUGUUUUCGGAUCAACAUAUUUAUGUCUCUGAUUUUAGUCAUUUCUUUCAAACUAUCUUAUGCAUAUUCUUACCUUGUAUACUGCAACCAGGCACCAAAAGUAGAGGAAGAGCAUGUGGUUGGUUUUGAGGAGGCAACGGAAAAAGUAAGCAAACUUCUCACCGGUGGAUCACAACAUCUUGAAGUAAUCUCAAUUGUUGGUAUGCUUGGACUGGGCAAGACAACGUUAGCUAAAAAGGUUGUUAAGGAUCCAAUUGUUGAUUAUGAAUUUAUGAUCAAGGCAUUUGUUUACGUUUCAAAAGAAUACGAGAAAAGGGAAGUGUUCCUCAGUAUUUUAAGAUCUUUUACACAAAUCAACGAUGAGGUGAAUAAGAUGGUAGAAGAUCAAUUAGAAGAAUAUCUCCGCAAGCAGUUGGAGGGAAAGCAGUAUUUAGUUGUGAUGGAUGAUGUCUGGGAGAAAGAGGAUUGGGAUAGACUCAAAAAAGCUUUUCCAAGCAAUAACAAGCGGUGCAGAGUUCUAAUAACUACUCGCUAUGAGAGAGUUGCUGAACAUGCAAGUCGGGGUAUCCCUUUCCAUAAGUUGGACUUUUUACCUCUAGAAAAGAGUCGGGAGCUACUUCGCUGGAAGGUCUUUGAUGAUGACAAGUGCCCAAAGGAGCUGCAGGAGUAUGAGAUAGAAAUAGCAAAUAAAUGUGAUGGAUUACCACUUGCAGUGGUUGUCAUUGCAGGUAUUCUUUGGAACAACAAAGAGAGAAUUGAUUGGUGGAAACAUGUGGCAGAUAGUGUCAAGGAUUACAUUGCAAGGGAUCAAGAGCAAACCACUAAGGUAAUAGAACUAAUGUACAAGCACUUACCAAAUCACUUGAAGCCAUGUUUCAUUUACCUUGGUGUCUUCCGGGAAGACUUUGAGAUCCCUGUUUGGAAGUUGUUGCGACUUUGGAUUGCUGAAGGACUCAUACUACAGGAAGGUGAUAUCAACUUGGAAGACAUAGCAGAGCAACACUUGGAGGAACUUGUUGCGAGAAACUUAGUGAUGGUUGGACAAAGAAGGUCAAAUGACCGAAUUAAAACUUGUCGCAUCCAUGACACUUUGCGUGAGUUUUGCAAGAAUGAAGCUACAGAAGAAAAUUUCUUCCAAGAAAUAAAAAAGGAUAAACUUGCGUUCUUUUUAUCUGAACACCCAGCUUUGGAUCAAUAUCGUCGGCUUUGCAUCAAUCAUGUCAAUGUUUUGGACUACAUUUCACGGCCCACACCUUCUGGUAAGUGUGUCCGGUCUUUCUUGACUUUUGCCAAAGAAGAAACUACUGUGGAACCAAAACAUGUCUCUGCAAUUCCCAAAACCUUUAAGUUGCUUAGAGUGUUGGAGGUUCAAUCUCUCACCUUCACCCGUUUUCCUCCUGAUCUAUGCCAUUUGGUUCUUUUAAAGUAUGUUGCUUUUUCUUCUAACAUCUCAGUCCUCCCUCCGGCAAUGUCUACCAUGUGUAACAUGCAAACUCUUAUAGUCAAUACAACAUCACGCACCCUUGAAAUCAAAGCAGAUAUAUGGAAGAUGCCACAGUUAAGGCAUUUGCAUACAAAUGCGUCUACUCUUUUGCCCUGUCCAGAUAACAAAAACCAAAGGAGCAAGGAAGAGGCUUUAAUAGGUGAAAAUCUGCUGACUUUGCAUACUGUUUCACCAGAAAGUUGCAAAGAAGAAGUGUUUGAAAGGACUACCAGACUCAAGAAAUUGGGAAUACGCGGAAAAUUAGCCAAGCUUUUUGAGAUCAAUGGUGAAUCUAGUUUGUUUGGCUAUCUUCGAAAGUUGGAUUCGCUUGAAAAUUUGAAGUUAUUGAAUGAGGAUAUAUCCUCCAGGUUAUUCGGUCUUCCUUCACAUAAAAGUUUUCCCAGAGAGUUGACAAAAUUGACUUUGUUAAAUACGCUGUUGGAUUGGAGUGAGAUGUCCACAUUAGGGAAGCUGGAAAAUCUCGAGGUUCUUAAGUUGAAAGACAAUGCAUUCAAAGGAAGGUUGUGGCAAACAGAAAAGGGUGGCUUUCUUCGUCUCAAAUUUUUGCACAUUGGACGCACAGAUUUGGUGGUAUGGGAAGCUUCAGUGGAUCAAUUUCCAAAGCUUAAAAGCCUUGUACUCAGAAAUUGUGAUAAACUCAGAGCCUUCCCACAUGACCUGGCAGAUAUUCCUAGCCUCCAGAUGGUGGUCCUUCACUGCACAAAUCCUUCGGUGGCUUCUUCUGCCAGGAAACUUCAGGUGCUGAAGCUAGAGCAAGCUCAAAGGGGCAACAAAACUAGUGGCUUCAAGCUCUCCGUAUAUCCUCCAGAACAUUGAGUGCCAAAUGCAUCUGAGUUGUCCGUGCCUUCUCAGGUUGGUAGAAUAACUCAGGAUCCACUCUUCUUUGGUGAUUUGUUCUUUCAUGCUUUUUCUGGUCAUUAGUGGAAUUGUAAGGUUUUAUGGCUGAAAUUCUUUCAAGACUGCAGCUGCUAACAUUGAGAUUACUCUUCAUUUCCACGGAAAAAAACUGGCAUUUCUCUACAAGCAGUAACAUUCAUUUUCAUCAGAACUACCCAAUAGAGCUGACUUCACCUGGCCUCUUUUUUUUUUCAGAUUAUUAAUUCAGGAUAAAAUGGCCACUGAUCUUCUGGUCUAAAGCGAAAGACUGUGAAGCACGACGUCUUCAAAUUUAGUUUGGGUGUGCUUUUGAUUUGUAAGAAAUUUGGAUGUGGGCUUUAAACCUUAAUGUUAAUUUCAUGUAGAGUUUACUCCUGAGGAGGAGGAAUUUCAACAUUCACUUCCCCAACUUCUUAGCAUAAUCUGUCUCGUACAUGGGCAAGAAACAUUUGGUUCCUUUCUCGCCAAACUCCUAUUUCCAAUUUAACUUAAAACGGAAUCAAAAUUGUCAAUAUGACUAUUAUAUAUUUCAAUGAUGAAUGGUUAAACUCCUUAAUCUGAAAUUUUAUCGUGUAAAGUUACAUGCAUAAACAUUUGCUGAGUUCUCACCUAUGGAAGCUUUCAGUAACAAUAUGAUGGAAUGCAAAUUUGUUAUGCUGAAGAGUAGUAUUACGGCGUCACACUAAUGAGAAUUCAGUGAAAACAUUUCAGUACCAUCGAGUUACAAAGAACUAUGUAUGGCAAUAUCUAUAGCUCAGUUCAUAAGAUUUAAAUUGCUCCUCAUUUCUCAGUUCAUGAUUCUAAGUUAAAAGUCCACUGAUAUCUUGAAAGAACUCCCAGCCCUCCAGUCUGAUCUAACUUCUAUCGAAGCCAUGGCCACACUUGGCAUUUCAAUGGUGAUUUGUUGAACUCAAGGACAAAAUGGGUCGCAAGCAAAAUGUGACACCUGAAGGGACCAACUACAUGAUUAAAUCAAAAUGGUUUAAUAUUUCAUUUGAUCAUUAGGAAGGGGUGGAACAGAAGAUCUGUUAUGUCUAUCGAGGGAGCUUUGAGCGCUUAACAGAAGAUCCGUUAUGUCUAUUGAGGGAGCUUUGAGCGCUUAACUCCGAUAGUCUGCCCCAUAUUCUACUAAUAGCAAGUACCAAGGGUUUGGUUGCAUUUGCCAUUUGUAUCUUUUUUGGACUAAUUGGAGGGGGAUGUUGCUUCACCCGGUCAAUUAUGACUUUCAAGGGCCUCAGCAAUUGGACAGAGGUUAUUAUGGGAUGCAAUUUCAGGUCCAAAUAGGAAGUUAUGCAUUAACCCUGUACAUAAUCUUUUUGGAAAUGGACAAUGGUGGUGGUCGGGUCGGCUAUCUUAGGAGAUGAAAAUGUUUACAUUUCUAUAUGAAUGCCUCAAAUAUUAUAGCCUGUAAUUAUACGGGCCUCUUCCAGAGAACCUCAUAUUCUUCAUUUUUUUUUUUUUUGAAGCACAAAUUCUUCAAUUUAUACUUUGGCAAACUCCCAUUAUUAAAAUUUUUUAUGCUCCUUAGUUGAGUCCGUCUCCAUUCUAAAAUACGACAAAGGUUCAAAGGUUUCGGGUUUGUUUGGAUAGCAAAUUAUUCUAAAUAAUAUUUCACUUGCAUCAUAAACAUAUUUUCCAACCCACCUUUUUAUAUUACCAAUCACUUUUUUAUCUCACAUACAUCACAUCACAAAAAAUAUUACAAUAAUUUUUUUAAAUAAUAUUUCAAAUAAUACUCUAUACUUGGUACAUAGAAUGCUACUCAGGAAGGCCAGAUGAAGUAAUUAUACUAUCAUAUGAUGGUCCUUGCUUCUUAAUGUAAAUAAUAUGUGAGUAUGAAUACAUAGAUUAUAAGAUUUCAAAAAUUAGACAUUCUUUCCUCUUCUCUUUUGUUUCUUAAUAUCGUCCUCUCAUACUUUAAGAAGAAAUGUGAAAUAUUAUUAUUAUUAUAAAUGUACAUGCUCAAAAUUUUAACUUACGAUCUAUGUUGUUGUAUUUAUUGAAUUGGUUUUACUAUAAUGAAAAAAUUGUGGGCAGUGCUUCGUCAAGGUAUCUCAUUAGCCUGCAUUUACUGAUGAAAAGUCCCAAGGUACGUAGUCUUGGCUCUUGCAAGGGAGAAAACAGAAGUAGUACUACAUAAGAUAUCGGGAGUCGGGACAAUUAUUGACAGAGAGGCAGUGUUUUUAAACUCGGACCGGACCGCCGAUCCGAUCGGUUCAACCGGAAACCGGUCAAGUGUCCGGUCCGAGCUGCUCUAAAAACUCGGAUGACAGAAACUCGAUCAAGCCCGAGUCAAAACCGGGUUUGACCGGAAACCGGUAAAACCGAUGAGAACCCGGUUUUUUUAUUUGCCCUUUUUGUUGCCUUUUUUUUUUUCCUUUGCCUAUCUAAAUUCCUCCUGAUCUCUCACCUCUCUAAAACCCAUUUUCACCUCCUCAGCUCCUUCAAUUUAGCCACCACAAUCAGUGCUUGAUAUCGUUUUCUAAAUAAGAUUUAAUCUUAGAUAUGGGGAAAAUACCAACAAAAAAAAAAAAGAGAGAUGAAGAAAAGAGCAGAUUGAAGAAAAAAGAUAAAAGUUUGAUUAUUUGUUAGUUUUGAAAAUAAAUACCUAAGGAUAUAAGAAUGGAAAUCCUGAAAAGAAAUAAGAAAUAAGAAUGGAAAUAAAAACUCAAAAAAAAAAACGAAAAGCAGAAAGAAUGGACAAGACUAGCUUGUCCACUUUGUUCUUGAAGUUGUAGUUAGAACCCAGAGCAGACAAGACUUCAAUGUCUAUUGUAAAGCUUACUCUUGCACUGAAUCCAUAUCAAGAGAACUAAAAAAUCAAAAGCAUUGUCAAAAAUUCGCUGGAAAAACUUAAAGAUUGCUCAACCUCUUCGAAUUCGUCCAUCUCAAAACACAGGGGAAAUGUUUCUCAAAACAUUCGGAGUGGCUGCCUAAGAGCUUUUGCCACCGAUGGGCUUGAGACUUGAGAGCUUAUGCGGCCUUCUAUGUUCUAUCCUUCUUUGGAUUUUUUUUUUUUAAAAAAAAAGAAAAAGGAAGAGUGGAAUGAACGGAGAACAGGAACAAGAAAAGGUUGCAUUAGUUUAGAAAAGCCUUUGUCGGCGGUUAGAGGUAAAGGAGGAAGGAAUUGGGGGAAUAUUAAUGUAGGGUUCAAAAAGCUUUUUCAAUAUUGUAUUCUAACCCCUUGGAUAUUGAAAAACUAUUAACAUACCUAGAAAUGUUUCAUAGUCUAUAAAUAUUCUCCACAAAUUUAACUUUGAACUUGUAAAUAUGCAUUAAAUUAUAUGAAUUACUAUUUGAUUGUUCUAAUUUCUUUGCACUUUCUUGUUAAACAGCUUUGAAACAUCAAACACAUAUGUAUACACCUUUAUUGAUAUUAGCAUGCUUUUAGAUAUUUUACAUAAUAUUUUAAUUUCAAAAUAAUUUUUAUUAAUAACAUUGAAGUUAUGACAAAUCUAAACUUAUGAAGUUGUAAACCACCAAUUUAAAGAUAAAUUUUAUAUCUUAUUUUGAUUAAAAAUUAUUAAUAAAUAUUUAUGACAUAUUUAUGAUGUCAUUUAAUUUGACUCCGGUCGAACCCAUUGACCCCUGACCCCUGAGCUCAGCCGAGUCAAUACCCGGUCCGAGUCUGAAAACAUAGCAGAGAGGAUAGAAUUUACCAUGGUCCUUGACGGGCCAAAGAACAAACCAAAAAUCUGGAAGAGGGGGGGGGGUGGUAAAAUAUGCAAAACAGAGAAAAGAAAAUCCACAGGAACGAAACUGUUAAAAAUUGGGGCGAUCCAUGUGAAGUUUGAAUUCUUGUUUAUGUAGCCCCAUCAUUUCCUCACGUGACGACCAUCAGAUGGAAGAAGAGAAAUUCACUGGAUGGAUGGAUCGUGACAUGGGUGUGUUUGGAUUGAAAUAUUUGGAGAUAAAAUAAUUUAUUUCAUAAAUUUCAAUCAUCUUUUUAUCCCACAUACAUUACAUCAUAAAAAGUGUUACAAUAAUUAUCUCAAUAAAUCAUCCAAAUAAACUCCUAGCAUGAAUUUGCAGUAUGAUAGAAAACAAAAUUACUGGUCAACAAGCCCACCAUUAUUCAUAAGUGUGAAAUGGAUCCUUUUUUUUAAGGUAAACCAAAACGUUUGGAUUGCUAUUUUUAAAAAUUUUUAUAAUAAAAUAUAUUUUAAUAAUUUGAUAUAUAUAUAUGUAAGAUAAAAAAAUAAUUUAAAAAUAUGUUAAAAAAAUAUAAAAAAAAUUUCAAGAAAAAAGACUUUUCAAACAAGGUUCAAAUCAUAGAGGUGACAACUUUAAUCGGAAGGAAAAUCAUCCCACCGGACAGGACAGUCCUACGUUCCAGACCAAGUGUGGAAUGAAUUCUGCUGCUUGCUGCCAAACGUAAUAGAUUGGCUUUACUUUUCUCUAUUUGCCACUUGCAAUUAUUCCAUUUUGUUUAGACCCUCAAGAAAGCUAUCUGCGAAUCCUGCUUGCUGCCACAUGUAAUAGAUAAGCUUUACUUUUCUCUAUUUGCCACUUGCAUUAUUCAAUUCUGUUUAGGCCCUCAAGAAAGUUUUCUUUUUUUGGUGCUUUAUGCUCAUCAGAGGAUGUGUUCUCCACUUAUAUAAUUCUCAUUAGUUUUUUCCUUCCAAAAAGAAAAGAAAUUGUCUUAUUCAUUGUCAACUACUUGCUUUUCUACACUUAAUUUUUUUUUUCUUCUGUAUUCAUUCAAUACAGAAUGGGUUUCCAAAUUUAAUUCUGAUAAGGUUUUUUUUUUGCAUCAAUCCAUUUCAUCUUGUCCAUUGUCAAACGGUAGCUGAAUUAGCUCAAAAUUAAUAUGAUAGCAGUCUCUGCAUUAGUGUUUAAACAUUCAAUUGAAAGAAGCAAUUCAUAAAAUGCAUUCCAUUUAAGCGAAUGUACUUUUUGAGAAAAUAUAUAUUGAUAAUUUAAGCAAGUGUCAUGAAGCAUUUCCUGUUAGAUUUUUUCCACCCAAGAAUUGCAAUACAAAGUAUAAACCAGAAUGAAACAACCAACGUGUGCUUCAUUUCUGAUUUGCCCCCCGGGGGGAGAAGGCUGGGGGCGCAAGAAUUAGUACCAGUUCACAUUCACUGUUAAAUCAUACAUGUUAGUGAUCGUUCACAUUAGCUACUCAUUGGAUUUUGCUCUUCCUAAGCCAGCCACAUUGGAUUUCUUUUUCACUCUUUCAAGUGUGAUAAAACCCGGCCAGUCAACAAAACCUGAUGGAACGUGGUUAAAAUAACUAGGAUUAAAGGUUGGGUUUUCUUAUCAUUUUGGUAAAGAUGUUCCAUUGAUUUUUCCCAGGCUUAAGCGCGAACAAUAUGAUCAAUUGUUCUUUUUAUCGUUGUUAUGUUGCCAUUCUUUUAUCAAGUCUAAUGAAAGUCUGAAAAGGAGGAUGAUAGAUGAGAAAUCGAUCACCAAACCUGUGGAACUCCCUGUCCAGUAAUAUUUGUUUAAGCAGAAAAGCCUAACAAUGGUGUCUUAUGGCACGCAACCUGGAAACUUCCAAUCAGUAACGGGGAAGGCCACAUUGUCAGGCCAAAGUUUAGUCCUCUCCGGAGAAGGAGCCAGCAUAAUUGUGAUUUUGGUGCGGUCAACAAAAAGGAACUUAAACCCCCCUUUGGAUUAUACGUCGGGAGUUCAAAUCUCACCUGCAAUAAAAAAAUUUAAAUAUGAUAUCAAAACAUCUCUUUUGAUUUAGUCAGGUCUGUAUACCUAUUAGUUCCUCACACAACUUUUUUAGCCUUCCCUCCUUAUAGAAUAAGAUAGAUUGCAUUAUACAAAUGUUAUCGUUACCGAAAAAAAUUUGUGAUUUUGGUACAAUUGUGCGGUCGGUUGCUGUAUAUUUUAUAUAAUUUAAUAUAUAUACUUAUAUUGCUUUGUUGUAAACAUAAUAAUUUUUGUUCUUAUAUAUCAAUUUAAUAAUUUAAUAUAACUACCUUCUGAAAAAAAUUACAAAAGCUGUACCAAUUGUACUGGCUCCUUCUAUGACCAACUACGUGCUUUGCUUUUAAUUUUCUCUCUCUCUUUUUUUUUUUUUAAAUACUCAUUGGACAAUCGAUUUGCCAAUUUAUUUCUGCCAAGGUUCUUUACCAUUCUAUUUCAUCUUGAUUCAUUGUCAAGGAAGGAAGAUGAAGUAUUAUGAAUAUGAUAGCAUUUUGAGCGAUUAAACAUUAACGUGUACAAUCUAGACUAGAAACUACCACCAUGCGCUCCAUUUCCGUGAAGACCGAGAUGCAAUAAUUAAAUACUAAUUAGACUUCAAACGGCCGUUUACAGUAAUGAUAGUGAUCCUUCACGCUGCUCACAUAAUGAAUGAUAAUGGCCUUGUUUGCAAAUAAGUUUUUUGCUAAGUUUAUUAGUUACAAGUUUUUUAAAAACUUUAAUUACAAUAAUCUCAAACAACUUCUCAAAAAUUUUAAAUUAUACAUUUUAAAAUAUUUCAAAAAAAUACAAUUUAAAAAUUUUUUUAAAAAUUUUUACAGUAAAUUACAGUAAAAUUUUAAAUAAAUACUUAAAAAAAUUCACUUGACAAAUAGGGCCGAUGAUUUAUAAUUAUUCUAAUUGACCAAGAUACAAAAUUGCUAGGUAGGCAUCAUCAUGAUACGUGAACAAGAAUAUAAACAAAGUGUAAUUAUUCGAAUCCAACAACUUUUGUUUUUUAGCAUUUAGUGUUAAAAUCCGGAACAUGAACAAGAGUCAAAUAAAAAUGGUGCCAAUAAGAAAAAUUUUAAAGAUUUGAGAUGACUUCCGGGUCGGCGUAUAGUAAUAAAUUGAAAAAGGUGGUGUGGCUAUUAGCUUUUCUGAACCGUCAUGGACGGUCAUGUUUGGCCUUUACCCAUAGAUCGUAACGACACCCUUAUAAAUUGGUUAGUGUCGAGGGCCUACGUUUCUAUUUAAUAAUUCAAUUCAAUACUUAAAUUUAAUAGAUUCAUCUUUUAACAUAUUCAGACACUUUUGAUAAUCAAAUAUAGAACAUGUAAUUUUAUUAAAUAGCAUUGAAUUUUUUGGACAAAAUUUGUGUCAAAAAAUAAGUUAUAAACUAUUCACGUAUCACUUAAUGCGAUAUACACUUGAAUGUGUCAUAUUAAUACUUAAUAAUUUAAUAAAAAUUUUAAUUUUCAAAUUUCAAUUUUAUCAAAUUAUCGUAAGACUUGGCCAAUCAACAAAUCAAGGUUCAAAGUGCAAUGGAACAAUCCAAGGGCUGGUGAUGGAGCAACACAUUGAUCGGAGAGGGUAGAGAAUUGUCCCCCUCAACUUUGAAAAACCAGAUAUUAGGCUAGUAUAUAUGCUUUCAAAUAUAAUCCAUUUAAAAGAGGAAAAUCUAAUCCAUUUGUCUUGGAUUUGCAGCCCCUAAAAUUCUUGUAGAAUUUCCGUCUACUACCGAAUAGCCCCUUAAGAAGCCAAAUAUUUUUCCAAUAUCAUAUUUGAAAAGUAAAUGAUACCACUUAUAUAAGAAUGAAUGUAUAAACUUAUAACUAAACUCAAUUUCUUUUUACAUAUAUAAUAAGCAAAGCUUAAGUUAUAUGUAAUUGACCCAAUGCUAUGCAUUCCUUAACCACAGUUCCUAUGUGUGUAUAUGUAUACGUACGUAUAUGUGUGUGUGUAAUAUAGGAAUACAAAAAAUUUCUUUGUUUAUGCUUUUAUGAUCAACAAGUAGCUUAAUGGUUACCAGCUGUAGAAUUAAUACUAGAAAAUGAGUUGCUGGGGCCACUUGAAGUCAAGUCAACUAUGUGUCUGUACAUGUUGAUCAAUGAAGUUCAAUGUACUGGUAGUCUUUUUUUACAGUUCUCACAAAACUAUGUACGAGUCGACCUUGCACAGCUAGAGCCUCUCAUCUCAUGAUCUAAUCCAAGUUGGUUGAUUUCUAGCUUUCAAGAAACAAAUCAAGAUCGGCGGUGAGAGAUAUGGAACAGGCUAUACAGGUUUCAGUAGGAUUUGCCUUGCAAAAUCUGCUGCAAUUGAUCGAUGAGAAUCGCAGAUUGAUAAGCGAUAACUAUGAGAAAAUCACCGAUCUCCAGGCAGACGUCCGGCUCUUGAAGGUUUUCAUGGCCGAGUACACUGCAAACUACCGCAACUCAAAGCCCCUGACGGAGCUGGCGGACGAGAUCAGGAGCCGGGUUUUCGAGGUCGAAGAUCUGAUGGAAACAUACAUCGCGGAGGAGAUGCAUUACCAAGGCAAGAAUAUCUUCAAGAAAGCAGUACGCGCCAGAGAACACCUAAGUAACCUCAGGAUCUUAGGUGAAACGGUGCAAAAGCUGAGUGCAAAGGUGAAGAAGACCAACGAGGACAACAAGGAGAUUGGCCUCCACCUCGUGGCAUUAGAAGAGUUGUCAAGAGAGUCAUCAAGACGUAGUUCAAUGUCUGAAGAAAAUCAGGUAACUAAUAGUACCUAAAAUUUGUUUACUGUUACAAGUUAAUUUGUAAUUGCAUGAUUGCAUCUGCCCACUUCAUUUGGACAAGUUCAUGGUUGGAUGGAAUGUUUUAGUUCUUCCAUUGCAAUUUCUUACCAUUUAUACAUAUACAUACACGCUGCGGACAAACCAAAUUCUUGAUGCAUGAUAUUCCUCAGCACUUAAGCUCAGUUGCCAGUAAGUUCUAAAUAGUGAUUAUGUUAAUGGGUUGUUGGUCUACAUAAUUUAUAACGUAUGUAAUGAGUAUGCCUAUGAGGCAAAUCAUCAAUAAACACUGAAUUAUACCUUUUUUUUCGUUUGAAAGAAGAACACGUUUGCAUUUGCACUGAACAGGAAAGUUUGAUGCUAGAAUAAAUAAAUCAAAUGCAUAUGAAAUAUUUUUCUUACUGUUUGUCUGAUUAUAUGGCUCUCCAUUUUCUAGAUUAUUUGCAAAAUAGUACUCUGUAAUAAGUUUAAAGAAAACUAAAAUUUCUAUAAAUUUUCUGUGGUCCAAUAUAACUAUAGUUUUUGAUUAUAUAUAUUACUAUUUGUCAGGCAGAUGGUCAUUUCAACGGUUUACAUAAAUAGGAAAAUAUCUUCUUUCUUGUACUGUAAGUGGGAGGGCUCAAACCCAAGACAUUUCACUUAGACUCCCUCCCCGAAUCACCCAACCCUCCUCCAAAUAUCACUGUGAGGAGCAUAUAAAAUGAAAAUCUAAAUUAAAAGAAUGAAAUAUUCCAACUAAGAGAAAAGAUGCUAUUAUGUUACGUAUGAGCAAUUCCUUUGCGCAUUAACACACUAAGCAAAAAGAUUAUAAUUAGUAUUGAGAAAAAAUGAUAGAUAUGUCAUCAAUGAAAAUAAACUACUAAGAAAGAAAAAGAAAAAAAAAGAGAUUCACUCAACAAGCAACAAAAGCCAGAAAAGAAAAGGAAAGCAAAAGCAAUACAUAAAUAUUAUACAUUACCAAUGUUGUAUUCUGUCAACACAUCCAUUUGUAUAGGAUGUAUCUUUCUCCAUUGAUAGUAUAUACAAUAGUGGGUCUGGAUGCAUGACAACUAAUCAUGAAUUGACUUCGAAUUUCAAAUUUGAUAUAUAUGGCAUGCAUCCAAUCUUCCUUAUGUAGUAGUUUAUUCAAUAGGUUUUUAAAUAUAAUUUUAUAUAUUAAUUCUUUUGAUAUAUUUAAGGAAAACGUCCAAGGCAUAUUUUAUAGUGAUUCUUCUAUUUUCAUUGUAAUAGACUGGAGGCAAUCAAGAACCAGACAGAAUCAUUGGGUUUGAAGAUGCAGCUGAUAAUGUAUUGGAACUUCUCGGUGGGAAAAAACUGGUUCAAGGCAAAUCUGAUGGAGAGGAGCAGAGCAAUUCCGACGCAGAGCAGCACAGUGAGUCAAAGGAGCUAGAAAUAGCAUCAAUACAUGGAAUGCUUGGGCUAGGAAAGACAACACUCGCAAGAAAGGUCUUGAAUGACUUAAGAAUCGAGUAUCAUUUUUUUACUCGUUUAUUUGUCACUGUUUCAAAUGAAUACAACAAGAAAGAAGUGCUUCUUAGCAUACUAAGUGUCUUCAUCAAGAACAUUAGGGAGCAGGACAAGACGGUGGAACAAUUAGUUGACAUGGUCAAACACGAAUUGAAGUACAAGUAUUUGAUUGUCAUGGAUGAUGUUUGGCAAAAUGAAGUUUGGGAGGAUAUCAAAAAAUUUUUACCCGACAACAGCAAGGGCAGCAGGGUAUUAGUGACUACUCGAAUCGAGUCUGUGGCCAACUAUGUUGCAACAAAGACUAAACCAUAUAAAUUGCGGCUUAUGUUUACAGAAGAGGCUGAAGAAUUACUGAGGACCAAGGUUUUCGACGAAAAUACAUGUCCAGAGGAACUGGAAUCCAUUGAAAAGAAGAUUCUCGCUAAGUGUGACAGGCUACCACUGGCAAUAGUGGUAACAGCUGGUAUUCUUAGGAAUCAUCCAAAAGAUCUUACAUGGUGGGAAGAUGUGCUUAACGGUGUAGCUGAGUUAGUUGAUAAUAACCACCAAAAAAGGAUUGAUGAAUUAAUAAGACGGAGUUAUGAUAACUUGCCUGACAUACUCAAAUCGUGUUUUCUCUACCUUGGUGUCUUCCCUGAAGACUUGGAGAUCCCCGUGUCGAAAUUGUUGCAAUUGUGGAUCGCUGAGGGGUUUAUUCCCCAAUCUGAGAGAGCAAGCAUGGAAAAAAUAGCAGAGUUAUGUUUGAGGGAGUUGGUUGGCAGGAAUUUAGUGAUGGUGCGAAGGAGAACUUUAAGUGGUCGGAUUAAGACAUGUAUAAUCCAUGACACACUGCGUGACUUCUGCAAGAAGAUGGCCAAAGCAGAAAAUCUUUUCCAACAAGUUCACGUGGACACCAAUUCAUCUUCUGGCCGUCGCCUUACCUGUAUUAACUCUUACUUCCAAGAAUACGUUCAAAAAGAACAGCCUGCGGAGAAAGUCCGCUCAUUCUUGAGCUUUGGGGAAGAAACUACGUUGAGGAAGGAUCUUUGCUCAAAUAUAUGUAAGCACUUCAAACUACUCCGAGUGUUGGAUAUUUUAUCUGUCAAGCUUCCUGGUCGUUUUCCGGCCCAACUACCUAACCUUGUUCUCCUAAAGUUCAUUGCCAUCUGUUGUGAGCUCCAAAUCCUUCCCAAAAAGAUGUCCAGCCUGGUAAACUUGCAAACUCUUAUCGUUUACACAACCCACCCGACCCUCAGAAUAGAAGCUGACAUUUGGGGAAUGACAAAGCUAAGGCAUUUGCGUACCAAUACCUCCACAUUCUUGCCUGAGUGUUCAAGGCAAUGCUCUAGCAGUGAAAACCUACAAACUCUAUCUACUGUUGCACCUGAAUGUCUCACAAAUGAUGUGCUUGAGAGGACUAAGAAACUCAAGAAGCUUGGUAUACGUGGGAACUUGGGCACUCUUGUGAAGGCCAAUGGUGAGUCUCGUUUGUUUGACAUGCUCUGCGAACUAGUCUCCCUUGAGAAUCUGAAGUUACGGAAUGAUGAUGUAACUUCCAGGCUACUUGCUCUUCCUCCAGCACACAAAUUCCCAGCAAGAUUAACAAGGUU